CUCAACAAAACUCAAAUUCGUUUUGGAAAUUACAAAGGAAAAUCUGAUUAUGUGAAAAAACCUAUUCCUAUCGAGGGAUUACGAGGAUUAUUGCGUUUGCUUUGUGACGCUAAGGUUGAAUAUCCUCUAGUUCAAUUGGCUCCUUACGGGGGCAUAAUGAACGAGAUUUCAGAGUCUGAAAUUGCGUUCUCGCACAGAUCUCAAUACAUUUAUCAUAUACACUAUGGGGUCACCUGGCAAGAGGAAGGGGACGAGAUAGCACAAAGGCAUAUGGAUUGGAUUAGAAGACUCUAUAAAUAUAUGGAACCUUAUGUUUCAAAUUCUCCAAGAGCUGCAUAUAUAAAUUACAGAGACCUUGACAUUGGGGUAAAUAACAAUGGUUUCACAAGCUACACCCAUGCCAGCAUUUGGGGUUUGAAGUAUUUCAAUAAUAACUUCAAGAGAUUGGCUAAAGUGAAGACCAAGGUUGAUCCUAAAAACUUUUUCAGGAACGAACAAAGCAUUCCUAUACUGUCCGUGGAGACAAUCCAGCAUAAGAGAAAACAGCUGAAAGUACCUUGGAGACAACCCACAACCAAGACUUUAGUUGAAUAAGCGUAAACACUUUCGAAACACCCACCACUCCCCCUUUCAAAAUUACCUUAUUCAUGCGCCUCUAAAUCUCAUUUAAUACAACAGUCCAGAUGGUUCCCCAAAUCACAUUAACAAAUUCUUAUGCACUACACAUCCUAAACUGUAGGAAGUGAAAGAAAGCAUCAGAAUGAUCCACAGACGCCAAACCUAACCAAGCGUAACACUGACUCCUGACCAACCAAGCUAUUAUGCACUAAAAAACAAAUGACUAUAGGACUCCUCUUCCACCCUGCACAUAAUACAUCAAACAUUCCUGAGCUCUACCCCUCUCCUUACCAAAUUUCCUUUGGUGGCUAACUUAUUUUCAAAGACCCUCCAAGCAGUGACUUGGGCCGAAGGCAAAACCUUAGUCUUCCAAAACAUAACAAACCCAAUAUUGAUCCUCCCUUCAGGCUCACCCCUUAAGAGAACAUAAGCAUAAUUAAUCGUGUACAUAGAGAACUCAUCGUUCUUCUAGACCCAGCCAUCAUCCAUAUCCAAACUAGCCUCAGUCCUUGGAGCAUCUCAAAAUGUUGUCUUUCUAUAUCCUUUUCCCACUUGAACAAGUUCCUUCUCCAAAGAAGAUUCCACUUUCAGACUCCGUCAACCAAAUACCCACACUCAGCCACUUUAGACUCCGGCAGACAGCUCAAAGAACACAAUCUUGGAAAAACACUCUUCAAGUUACUGCACCCCUUCCAAUUAUCUUCCCAAAAACUGAUAGACUUCCCAUUUUCAAUCUUCCACUUGAAACGAUCUUCAAACCUCCUUCCCCAACUCUCAAACUCCCAAACCUCUUUCAAAACUUUCCACCAAAGGGACAUCUUAGCAGGAUUCCUUUGUUCUCUCAGACUUCUCCACCCUCCGUAUUUAAACUCAAUAACAUCCUUCCACAAGCCUCCCUUGUCUGUCCCGAGACGCCAAAUCCAUUUCCCUAAAAGUGCUAUAUUGAAAACUUUCAAAUCAAUAAUGCCAAGACCACCUACCUCACAGGGCUCACAGACUUUCUUCCACGCAGUCCAAGCAAUUUUUCUCCCCUCCAACCCCCACCCCUAAAGGAAACGCCUCUAAAUUUUGUUGGUUUUAUUAGUGUCUAAGUUCAAGAGGAGGGUGAAUUGAACUUAUAAAAUUUUCAAAUAGAUUCAGGUAUUUCACGAAAUAUAGUAAAAGAAUCGAUUUAUUGAUAGAAAUUAAAAAUUAACUAGUACACUAGAAAAUACUUUAAUUUUAAUUCGUUCAAUAUUAUUGAUAAAAGUAUCUUAAAAACUUUUCCGUGAUUAUGAUUUGAUGAUAAUCGUUAAUUUAUAAAAUUCAUAUUUGUAGACAAUAUUUCAUGAGUGUAACAUGUUUAAAUGAAAAAGGAAAACUUAUCUUUUGACACUGAAGCACACACUUCACAAUUCUUUAUAAUAAUAUAAUAGUAUUUUUAAUUAAAAAAUAAAAUAAAAAUAUUAAUGUUUUAUGAUGUUACAUUUCACAACUCUAUCAUAAUAUAAUAAUAUUUUAAAUUAAAAAAAUAUAAAAGUAAUUAAAAUAUUAAUAUAUCACUUCUCAAUAAAAAAAAAAGUUGUCAGAAAAAUAUAUUAUUAAAUUUUUGAAUAUGGUAAAUAAAACAAUAAGCAGUGAAAAUCCCUUAUUUAAUUCCUUCUGUGUGCAAGCAACUUUUUCUUCUAUAAAAAUGCUCGAUACUACAUAUCGAUAGCUAUUAAAAAUAUUUAUUUAACUGAGUUUCUCUUUAUUAAAUAUGAAAUAAUGAAAUAACAAAAAAUUUAGACAUUGUUCACAUAAGUUAAAAUAAUGUAAUUUUUUUUGGUGCUUACUUUUUUUUAUUAAAAAAAGAAUUAAAAAAUAAAAAUAAAUCACUUCAGGAGUGUUCCUGCCCUUAUACAAAUAACACUUUAAACUCUUCCUCACUCUCAAGAAAUAUCCACUGAACAAACAAGACCACAAUACUAACAUAAGACACUCACAUCAAAAGAUCAAAAAGUCAGCCUCUGUAGGGAUAUUGUGUGCGGAAACGUAAUAAUUUCAACCAAAAGAUUAUGAGAAAUUAAAGUAACAAGUAAAGUGAGAAUGAUACCAAAAUUUUUAUGUGGAAAACCCCUUUAAAUAGAGGUAAAAAAACCACCGGCGAGAGAGCCAAAACUUCCACUAUAAUGGUAUUGGGAGUACAAUGAAUUCCUCUCAAGCUAAUAGAUAAAUAGCCCUAAAACAAAUUCUCUCUAUAUGGGUUAAACACUUACACCCAAGAGAAGAAAUAAAGAGUAUAGGAAAAGAGAGAGGAAGCAAGUGUGUGUUGUUGCUUGUUGUGUGUUACAUUGCUUGAAGGAAGCCACUAUAUAUAGUGGUUCUAGGAGACAACAAUAAUAAAUACAACUAAUGGUAAUUAAUCUCCCUUUGAUGACAAUUAAUUGUAGUAAGAAACCUCCAUUUGAUUACAAUUUAAUUGUGGCAAGUAACCUCCCAAUUAUGCCAAGAAAACGGAAAUGUGAGUCAUAACCCACAAAUCUCCACCUUGACUUGCCUUUGACUGGAACACUAAGCCUUGAUUAAGUAUGGAUAAUACCAGCUAAGUUCAGGCAAUGAUCGAACUUAGCCGAUGGAAGUGGCUUGGUCAACAUUUCUGCAGGAUUUUCGGCCGUAUGAAUUUUUUCAACAAUUAUAUCUCAUGUAUCAACAAUGUCUCGGAUAAAAUGGUGUUUAAUUUCAAUGUACUUGGUCCUUGAGUGAUACUUACUGUUCCUGGUUAAGUGGACAACACUCUGACUAUCACAAAAUAUAACAAGAACAUCUUGUUGAAGACCAAGUUCACUUACCAAGCCUCGAAGUCAUAUAGCCUCUUUCAUACCUUUUGUAGCAGCAAUAUAUUCUGCUUCAGUGGUGGACAAAACCGCAAUGGCUUGAAGUGAAGAAUACCAACUGAUAGCAGAUCCACAUAGGGUAAAAAUGUAGGCUGAAAGUGACCUUCUCCGAUCUAAAUCACCACCAUAGUCAGCAUCAACAUAGCCAACUGCUCAUCCGAGAUCGGCUCUAUGUUGAUCAAAUACCAAACCAAGAUUUGGAGACCCUUUCAGAUAACGAAGUAUCCAUUUAACGGCUUCCCAGUGUGCCUUGCCUGGAUUAUGCAUGAACCUGCUAACAAUGCUAACAACAUAAGCUAAAUCAGGUCUAAUACAUACCAUAGCAUACAUGAGACUUCCAAUUGCAUUUGAAUACGGGACAUGUGACAUGCGCCUUUUGUCCUCGUCUGAUUUUGGACACUGAUCUGAUGACAACUUGAAGUCGGCGGCAAUUGGAGUAUUAACAGCUUUGCAAUCUCGCAUUCCAAAUUUGUCAAGCAUCUUAAGAACAUACUUCUUUUGUGAUGAUAGAAAAAGUUUUCCAGCUUGACGAUCUCUGUUGAUCUCCAUUCCUAAAAUUUUCUUGGCAGGACCUAAGUCCUUCAUAUCAAAUUCACUACUAAGCUGAGCCUUUAACUUGUUAACUAAAAAUUUAUCUCUUGCAGCAAUCAACAUGUCAUCAACAUAUAACAACGAGUAUAUAAAUGACCCAUCAUAUGUCUUUUGAAAAUAGACACAAUUAUCAUAGCUACUUCUGGAGUAACCAUUUCCAACCAUGAAAGAAUCAAACCUCUUAUAGCAUUGUCUUGGUGAUUGCUUCAAGCCGUAGAGAGAUUUCUUCAGACGACAUACAUGAUCCUCCUUUCCAGGAACAACGAACCCCUCAGGCUGCUGGAUGUAAAUCUCUUCCUCAAGAUUACCAUGAAGAAAAGCAGUUUUCACAUCUAACUGUUCCAUCUCCUAAUCAUACAAGGCAACUAAAGCAAGUAAUAUACGUAUUGAAGUAUGACGAACAACAGGAGAAAAUACUUCAUUAAAGUCAAUACCUUUCUCUUGGUCAAAACCUCUUACAACAAAUCUUGCUUUAUUCCUUGUACUCUCAACACCAGGGAUCCCUUCUUUUCUCUUAAAGAUCCACUUGCAACUAAUGACUCGUUUUCCUUCUGGUAACUUCACCAAUUCCCAUGUUUCGUUUUUUAGAAGACUCUCAACUUCUUUUUGCAUAGCAGUAAUCCACUUUGUUGAGUCAUCACCAGAGAUAGCUUCAGAGUAAUUCUUGGGUUCACCUUCUUCACCCAUCUCUUGUGCAAUAGUUAAAGCAUAAGCAAUGUUGGCAGAUUCUGCAAUUAAUCUUUGAGUCGGUUUCCUUGGUCUCUGUUGUGGAAGUUCUUGAGUCAUAGACCACGGCUGUGGUAACCCUCGUCGUUAAGGUGGACAUUGCUCAUGUGGACUCAAAUGUUCAUUUGUACCAUCAGUAGCAAUGAUUUGAUCACCUUGAGUACUGGAGGAAUUGAGAGCGUCUUCCUCAUGAGCGGGUGUUUUAAUCUCAAACUCCACAUUCUCUCGAGCAUCUUCCUGGUCACCUGUAUCAAUUAAGGAAAUGACAGUAUCUCUUACAAAAGAGAGCAUAGCAUUUUCAUUAAAGAUCACAUUCCGACUGUGAAUUAUUUUGUGAGAUUCUGGGUCAUACAAACGAUAGUCUUUAACCCUUGAGCCAUAACCCAAGAAAAUGCACUUCUUUGUACGAGGUUCUAAUUUUCCCUCGUUUACUUGAGAAUAAGCAGAGCAACCAAAUAUUUUAAGAUUAGAAUAAUCAACAGGGUUACCUAACUAAACUUCUUAUGGAAUGUUGCAAUCAAUUGAUCUGUUAGGAGAGCGAUUUAUCAGAUAACAUGCCGUUGAAGCCGCUUCAGCCCAAAAAGAUUUGCUCAAACCAGAAUACGAGAACAUGCAACAAACUCUCUCUAGGAUAGUUCUAUUCAUUCUUUCUGCAACCCCGUUCUGUUGUGGAAUACUUGGGAUGGUGAAGUGUCUGGAAAUGUCAUCCUUCUUGCAGAAAUCAUUGAAUUCAUUCGAACAGAACUCAAGGUCAUUGUCUGUCCUUAGCCUCUUUAUCUUCUUGCCAGUCUGAUUCUCAAUCAAUAAUUUCCACUCUUUAAAAGUGGAAAAUGCUUCAUUCUUAUGUUUGAGAAAAUACACCCACAGUUUUCGUGAGAAAUCAUCAAUAAUUGUCAUCAUAUAACGACAUUUACCUCUAGAGGGAACUUUUGACGGACCCCAAAGAUCCGAAUGAAUAUAAUCCAAAGUACCUUUGGUUCUGUGUAUGGCUUUAGAAAAACUAACCUUUUUCUGCUUACCGAAAACGCAAUGUUCACAGAAAUCAACCUUUCCAGUACAGUGGUUACCAAGGUGACCCUUCUUCUUGAGGAUUAGAAUUUCCUUCUCACUCAUGUGGUCUAAUCUCAUAUGCCACAACUUGGUGUUAUCUUUGUUGGGUGAGGCAACAGCUGUAGAACCUGUUACUGUUGAACCCUGCAGCACAUACAAACUAUCACAUCGAAUUGCCUUUAGUAACAUAAGAGCUCCUUUAGACACUUUUAAAACUCCACCUUCAGCUAAGUAUCUACACCCAUGAGAUUCAAGGGUGCCUAAGGAAAUGAGAUUUCGUUUCAACUCGGGGACAUAUCUGACACCUGUUAAAGUUCUAACAAUUCCAUCAUGUGUCUUGAUUUUGAUUGUUCUUUCACCAACAACUGUGCAUUGAGCACCGUUUCCCAUCAAAACAAGACCAUUAUAAAUUGGUUCAAAUGUGGUAAACCAAUCUCUAUUGUGAGAGAUGUGAAAAGUGUUGGGUUUAAUAGUGCCAAAGUUCAAGAGGGGGGGUGAAUUGACCUUUUAAAUCUUUCUCGCAGAAACAGUGUUUAACACAGUUUACAGAAAAUAAAUCGAUUUAUGUGUAAAUGAACAGAUUUAUUUUGGCACUAUUUGUGUUUGAAAAGCGUUUAUACAGCAAGGUUAAUCACUAGAUUAUGCAGAUAGAUUUUCCAGACGCACACACACUGAUAUUAGAUUUGAAAAACAGUGAAUCACCAAAACAGCAACCUUCAAUUUCAAGCAAGUGAUUAAGGUUCAAUUAAUGGCUUGACAGUUUAUUGAGUGAUCUAAUCAACAUGUUCUAAUGGCUUUUAACAGAUUAUAAGUGUUCUUAUUGAAAUCAACCGGUUUUCCAGAAAUUAAGAACAAUAUGAACCGUGCCCAGAAAGAACAGAUUUAUUUUUAAUUGAACAGAUUUAUUUCUUUGUUGUUUUAUGAAUUAUGCAGAAACUUAAUUGCAGAGAUUGAGAGAGAAUGAACACAAGGCAGUUAUACUGGUUCACUCAACUGAGCUACAUCCAGUCUUCACCUACCACAAGGUGAAAUUCACUAAAUCACAAUACAAACAAACACAAUUCCCACUGUUCUUGAAACCUACAAGAACUUAGGUACUCUUGCUGAAAAAACCUAUUUCAGCUCACACACACUCUUCAAGAAAACCUAUCAAGAAGAGUGUUCAACCAAACUAUUACAAGAAAUGAGAAGUGAAACGACUACACCUGAUUGAGGAUACAAAGAUCUGCCUUAAACUAGUAGGCAAGAUUGCUAGAACAGUAGCAGCACCUCACACCAAGCUUUUGGAACCAAACCAAGAACAAGCACUUUGUGAUUUUCGAAAUCUUUGAAGAACAAAUGCUAAUCCUUUGUAAACUCUUAAUUCUCUUCUGUAAAACUUGUUUUUACAAAUGUAUGAACGAUGUUUUAACUCAGAAACAAGUUUUCAUUUUAUAGAAAACCAACUUAUAAAAGAAUUUUGAAAAACAGUUAAAGCUGUUAUAAAAUGAACUUAUUGAAAAUGAAAUGAACAAAUUUAUUUUCAAAAGCAGUUAGAGAAUUUGUUAAGUGAGGAGACUUAGUCAACCAUUCUGGUGUAGAGAUAAAACUGAAAAACGUUUAAGCUAGAUAUGGCACCAGAGACAAAAAAAAUCUAUUCAUUUACAGAUGAACAUAUUUAUUUUUCAAAACAAAAACAGAAAAGCUUAACUAUUUGAAACACAGUUGUUUUGAAAGAUAGAAGACUUAGUCAAAAUACAUGAUGCACAAAAUCAAAUUUUCACAAGACUUAGCCAAGGCAUCAGUGUAAAAAAGAAUCUGUUUAUUUAGAAAAGAACAUAUUUAUUUUUAUGCAGUAAACGUGUUGUUUUGUAAAACAUGUGAAAAACAGUUUAAGAAAACUUAUGCUUGUUCUUAUCACAUGGCCAGUGGUUAUGAGGUGAGUUACUAAGCAAAAAGCCCACUCUUAGACAACCUCUAAGCACUACCUAAGACACACUUAAAGCAAAGCCAAAAUACACAUGAAAUGUACAUAGAAGUCUUCAUCAAACACAAUCUUGAAGGGGCAACAACCAUCUUCAACAAAAAGUACAACCAGAAUCAAGAAUCCAUUCAUUUUUAGACCUUUGUUUAGUGUUGGAAGCUACAAAACAAUCCCCAUCAGAUUCAGUUUCAACAAUACUAGCUUCGACAAUUUUUUCUGGUUGUUUACCAUUUCCCUUAUCUUCUCUAUCUUGCUUAUUUUUCAAUUUAUAACAUUCAGAGAUCUCGUGUCCCUUUUUCUUGCAAUAACGACAAUAUUUGGAGUUCUUGCCUGUACAUUUUGACCUAGAUUUAUGUUUAGUGUUCCUACCUUUCUCUUGGUUUCUCCCUCUAACUUGAACUAAUCCUUCACCAGAACUUUCAAAAUGAAUUUGAGUAUCAAAUAUUUCUUUGGCUAGUAAAUUAGUCUUGACAUCAUCAAAGCUUAAGGUAAGAUAAUUACCGUAUAACAUAAUUUCUUUGAAUUGUCGAUGCGAGGGUGGUAGAGAAACAAUAUGUAGAACUACUUUAUCCUCAUCAAUUUUAACAUCCAAAUUUUCCAAAUCAAUUAUGAUGGAAUUAAAUUCAUCAAGGUGAGAUUGGAUGGGAUUCAGACAUUCAGNNNNNNNNNNNNNNNNNNNNNNNNNNNNNNNNNNNNNNNNNNNNNNNNNNNNNNNNNNNNNNNNNNNNNNNNNNNNNNNNNNNNNNNNNNNNNNNNNNNNCGCUCCUUUAACCGGAGUUUGUUUGCAAGACUUUUGGUCACGUAUAGAGACUCCAAUUUACUCCAUAUGCCUGCUGUAGUUUUCUCGUUGAUGACCUCACGCAACACCUCACGGGACAAGCAUAACUUGAUUGCAGCAAUGCUUCAUCAUCUCAUCCCAUGCUCCUGGUCAUAGUGGUUGGUCUCAUCAUUUUACCUGUCAAAACUUUCUUUAAACCAUUCUGGGUGAGAACAACUAGCAUCUGGACUCGCCAGAUAACAAAGCUGAUUUUACCAUCAAAUUUCUCAAUAUCCAAUUUUGACAUUAUUGAACAACAGAUCCUGGUUGAAUUAUCGAAAAGCUCUGAUGCCAAUUUGUAGGGAUAUUGUGUGCGGAAGCGGAAUAAUUUCAACCAAAAGAUGAUGAGAAAUUAAAGUAACAAGUAAAGUGAGAAUGAUACCAUAAUUUUUAGGUGGAAAACCCUUUAAAUAGAGGUAAAAAACCACCGGUGAGAGAGCCAAAACUUCCAUUAUAAUGGUAUUGGGAGUACAAUGAAUUCCUCUCAAGCUAAUAGAUAAAUAGUCCCAAAACAAAUUCUCUCUAUAUGCGUUAAACACUUACACCCAAGAGAAUAAAUAAAGAGUAUAGGAAAAGAGAGAGGAAGCAAGUGUGUGUUGUUGUUUGUUGUGUGUUACAUUGCUUGAAGGAAGCCACUAUAUAUAGUGGUUCUAGGAGACAACAAUAAUAAAUACAAUUAAUGGUAAUUAAUCUCCCUUUGAUGACAAUUAAUUGUAGUAAGAAACCUCCAUUUGAUUACAAUUUAAUUGUGGCAAGUAACCUCCCAAUUAUACCAAGAAAACGGAAAUGUGAGUCAUAACCCACAGCCUCAUACAAAUCAUUGAAUCCAAACACCAAUUAGAAAAAGAAAACAACCUAAAACGAGACUUAGAACAAAUCCAAGACCAAACCUUGACUUGAACCAUUACAAACAUUUCAGACACAUCGGCCUUUCCCCUAUUAAAAAUGAUAUUGUUCCUGUGUUUCAAAAUUUCACUCACGACUCCAAAACAAAUUGGGGAGGGAAGUUUGAAGAUCGUUUGAAUUUGGAGGUCGGAAACGGGAGAGAGGUUAUGUUUUGGUUAAACAAUUGGAUAGACUCAGAAGACUUGAAGAGCAGAUUUCCAAGGUUAUUUUCUUUGUCUGUAAAUAAGGAGGGAAAUUUAUGUGAUUGUGGAAUAAGGGAGAACAGGACGUAGGAGUGGAACAUAAGGUGGAGAAGGGGCCUGUUCGCUUGGGAAGAGGAGCAAGAAAGUCAACUUUUAGAGUUGAUCUCUAAUAAGAAGCUAGAGAUGGAAACAGUGGAUAAAAUGCGUUUGGAAGGAUGGUGAUUUAACAGAGUUUUCAGUUAAGUCCGCUUAUGGGUUUUUAAGGGGAGAAGGAAGUGAGGAAGACUUAAAAAGAUAUAAAUUUUUUUGAGAAAUUAAGGCGCUCCCCUUAGCUCAAGUCACAACUUGGAGAGUGUUUAAAAACAAGGUUGCUUGUAGGGUUAAUCUGGAGAGAAGAGGAAUCAGGAUCGGGAGUAAUCUAUGUUGCUUGUUGUACCGUCCCGUACCUGGGCGUUGACUAAGUCAAGGUCAAAGUCAACACCAGGGGCAAAAGUCAACACAGGGUGUCGCCUAGGUGAAGAGAACUAAGUGCCAGCGUCGUCAAGAAAGAGGGCGUCGCCAAGGCACGGCGUCACCUAGAAGGAGGCGUCGCCCAACCAGGGCGUCGCCAGAUCAAACAUUACCAAAGUAAGGCAAUCACAGUGUGGUUCCCCGAUACCCAUGGGUAGGAAAGACCAUGGAGGGAGCCACACCGUGGGAAGGCCUCAGGUCCCGAUAGCCCGGGGCAGCGAUAAAGAGAACGAAAAGGUGGCUUCAAGGCCAUAGUGAUAGCACCAGUAUAGGGCAGCCUGACUCGUGAAGUACCCCUGCUGCCCCAGAGACGCCUUUGGGACAGAUACGACUCAAGAGGAAGGUCACGCCCAGGGUAGCCGGGUGCAGGGUACGAGAGGAAGGCAGAUACGCUCUCAAAGUAAGUGACUAGAUAAUUGGGGGCAUGAGUUGGCACCCAAAAAGUCACCCCUAGCGCAGUAGCACUCCCAAGCAGGAGGACUCACACAUAGAAACGUCCCCAGAUGGGCAGAAACGCCCCAAGAUGGGGUCAAGGCGUCGUGAGACCCUCCACGUGUACGACAGCCAGGUCAGAAUAGAAACACCCUUUAGUCAGGUGCCAGGUAAUUAACGUCAUUCAAUACAGUUUCCGUUUCGAGCGUUCAGGUGCUAUGAUGGCUCCCAAGCAUUUCAACGUCUUAAAUGCGCUAUGUUUUCUAAUUAAACGCUUUAAUGAGUGCGUUACGUUUGUGAUUAAAAGCGCUUUAAGGCGCUUUAAAUGCUUGGGUAGUUUAAAUAGCGCGGAGAAUGUUGGAAAGGGGGUUCGAACUUUUGGCAAAUUUACCAGAACUCUCUAGUUGCUUGCUCGUGCCUUGAGGUUACGUACAAGGGACUGGGGAAAGAUCUUUGCCUGAGGGAGAAAACAUACACACAACACACAGUUCUUUAUACCACCUUCAGAGUGCCAUACGCGGUGCUCAGAUACGGAGGUGCCCAGUUUUGGUGUUUCUUGCUGGCUGACUUGAGCGUCGGAGUGCAAACGUCCGCUAGGGCGCCCUUUUGUCCUCUUUUUGCAGGAAUCCACAGGUAACCCGUGGGAAGGAGUCCCUAGCUGACGGUUGAGGUCGCGCACGAAGACGCCCCGGUCAACCGGACGGAACACUUGUGUAGGAGGUCAGAUGAGACAACAAAUCAUUUGUUCUGCGAAUGCAAAGUUGCUUGGCUAAUUUGGAAUCUUUGUUAUGACUGGUUAGGAAUAAGAUCAGUCAAUUGUAUGGAUCCUGGGUCUCAUUUUGAACAUUUCAAGAUUCUAGAUGCACCUAUUUCAGUUAAUCUUAUUAUGGGCAACUUGUGGAUUGCAUUGGUUAGCGAGAUAUGGAGGCACAAGAAUAACUGUUUAUUUAAAGGUGGAGUGGUUGAUCAUACUGAGGUUUUCUCUCUGACACAGAUUAAGGUUUGGUCCUGAAUCUCAUCAAAGAUACCGUCAGCUUAUUUCUCAUUCUCUGAUUGGUGUCUUGAACCCUUGGUAUGUAUGCAUUCAAUUUAGUUUUAUUUAAAAGGUUGAUCCUCGUGAUUCUUUUAUUAUUGGUAGAGAUGAGAUAGACAGUAGGAGGUAUUUUUGGUUGAUAUGUAGAUGGAAAGGUUCUUUGGGAGUAUCAUUUUACUGUAUAAGGGUUGGACCACUCCUAAAGUGAUCUCAUUUAAUUUCAUUGCUAUUUACUGAAAAAAAAAGCAUAAUAAUUAAGAAUUAGUGUCUAAAACAGUCUCCUUUUUUCUCAUUAACAUGUAUUCAAAACCUUAUAUAUUGUGUACAGUUGUGACAUUCAUAGAAAGUCUCUCUGUAUCUAGUGUGGUAGACAUUGAAUAGCAUCCUCCUUCCAUCCAACUUUUAUUAUGCUCUCUUGCACAAUAGAUUAUUCAUCAGCCCUAUGAUGAUCUACAUUUGCAAUAAAUUGCUACAUAUCCAUGUUUUUCUUUUUCAAACACUUACUUACCUUUUCUCUUUUAUUUUCUACAACCCUAUUCUUGAAUUUCUUGUGUUUUAAGAAUGAUUCUAAAAAUGUUCACAAGUCACUAUCUCUUUGUUCUUUUUGGCAUUCCAACUUUCAAGCUGUAAUAUUGUUGAUGGCACUGAUUAUUUCUUCUCACCACAAGGAGACUAUGACAAAGUUGGGGUGUAUACAUGGCAUUUUGUAAGGAAGUCAACAAACCCACGAAUUUGUAUUUCCUUAAUAUGGUCAGUUGCUCCAUAAUGUUUGAAACUCUACCAUUUCUGCAACUUUGAAUGUACAAUUAUUAGAUAAGAAAUCCAAUGUUGUAAAAUCUUCAUUGCUUACAUGCUUUUGUACCUACCUAUUGACACUUUAAUAGCUUAUGUUUAUUGUGUUCUUUAAAUAAUUAAUCUGCUUUUGUUUGAUGACGUGAUUUAGAAGUUAUUUUCAAUAUCUAUGAUAUUUUCUGAAAAUUAGUUUCUGUUUAAUUUUACACUUUAGAAGAUUCUUACCAUCUAUGUUACAAUCCUACAACUAACUAUCUUUCACCCCUUCCCGAUCCUAUAUGAAAUCUUCAUUUUGACAACAUUGCUUCAACAUUGCUCACCUAAUUCACUAUUUUAAUUUUUAUUGCUUCCAGGUCUAGGACAAGUGUAAGUAAAGUUGGGAGAUUUUAAAAGUGCACUAAAAUUUGUAAAGGUCCUAGAGGUAUACCUGGAUAAUUGUGAGACAUUGAAGGUAAGUGCUUCAAAUUGAAAGAAAUUUUAGUUCACAACCCUCCCCCUCCCUCUUUUGCAUCAUUUCUCUUUCUAGGGCUUGAAUGCUUUUGCAGCAGCAACCUAAGACUAAUUUAACAUCUAACUUUAGGUAUGCCAUAAAUUGGAUAAAAUCAGUUGGGUACGCCUCUUUCUAUUUGGUGAAAUUGGUUUAGACCAUAAAUUGUAGAACAAUCUUUAAAAUCAUGUAUUGUUGAACUUCAAUAACUCCAAAUUUCAUGAUCAUCUAUAUAUUUAUGUAUGCUAACAAGCUUACAUUAAUUGUUUUCUUCAAAUCUGUUUGGGAAAAGUUGAAGAAGGAAAUUCAUGGUAAAAAUAUUAGUUAAAGAAGGAUUGGUUUACAAAAUGUGAAAGAUUUAACAUUCUUACACCAAAGUGGUCAUUCCCUUACUCAUUGACCAAUUAGGUUAUUAAUUAUUAAUUAAUUCAAAAACAUUUUUAACAAAAAAUGUUUUUAUAAUUUCCCCAAAUUUUCAUCGAAUGUUAUUGAAUGAUACCAAAGGGUAAUCAAUGUAAAAGAAAGUUGUAGACUAAGGUACAAAAUUGAUGAUUAAGUUUGUGUAUAAAGUGAAAGUUGUUAGAACAACUAGAUCAUAUCUUUUUAUCUGUCAUUGGAUGUUCUUUUUUCCUUCUCUCAUAUUGUUGUGUUGAUAUAUUGUCUUUUAUUAUAGGCGUUUGGGUAUAUAUAUGUUUAGCUUGGUCAAACUGACAAAGGGCAACACUUUAUUAGGAGAGCUACAAAAAUUGAUUCCCAGGAUGCCUAGGUGAAUGCUUUUGGUAUUUUUUUUAAUUUAUUGAACACUGUUUGCAUAGAUAUUUUUAAUUAUUUAGUGUUCCAUGUGUUGUGCAGUAUAAUGUUUUGCUACAGUUGUUUCAUUACUUAUUGAGUCCUUGUUCUACGAUGAAAAACUUUAUUAGGUUCAACUUGUUAUUUAUGCUUUUAUUUGAGUUGGUGGAGAUAUUUAAUAUUUCUUUUUCUAAAUAUGAGACUAGAUAUAUUAGAAUAAAAAUUGUCAUUUGCUUUGUGUCUUUCGUUUUUGGUGAAGUAUUUUUUUUCCAAUUAAUAUUGUUGUUAGCUCUUCCUUUUUCUGAUGCAAUUCUUCAUUUCUUGAUAUAUAAUUUCAUUAAUUAAAAUUCAAUAGAUUUCGAAUUGAUUCCUUUGGUGUAGCUAAAAGUGAAAUUGAUAAUCGAACCAACAUUCUUGAUCUAACUUCAGCUGUUGGUUUGUUCUUGAAAAAGAUUCAUUGUCUUGCAGGCAUUUCUUGAGCUGGGAGAAUUGUUAAUUCUUUCCAACACAGGAGUGCUUUAAAAAAUGUGAGGGAUUAAGAGCUUAUCAUAUGUUCUAUUUUUGGUUUGAAAAUUUUAUCUUUAUGAAUAGACUUUUGAAGUUUCAUAAUUUGUUAUGAUAUAGAUAUUGUAAUUGUGGUAGAGGCUGAAGAGAGGUCAAGAAGUACCAAUUGAAUUACUAAAUAAUAUUGGUGUGCUUCACUUUGAAAGGAUUCAAGCUUGAUUUUUUUAGUUGUAACUUAUAUGUCAUUCUUUUUUCUCAACAUAAUUGUUGUUGGAUAGUUGAAUUUAGAAGGGGAAAAUAUUCACUUUAUUAUUCAAUAAUGAGAAUAUAAUGUUACUAUAAGGAUUAUUUAACAACAUUGUUUGAGAGAAUGUAGUUCAUAGGUUCUACUUAUCAUCCAUAUGUUUAGACUUUGGUUUAUUUGAAUAAACUUCUCCACAAGUUUUUUUUAUACUAACUUGUCCAAAUACGUUUUGUUUUUAUUUUUUUUUAUUUUUUUAUUUUUUAAGGUAGUCUUAGCUUAUUAAAAAACCUUAUUGCAUUUUUUCUUUUUCUUUUCUCUUUUAAGUGUUUAUAGAAAACAUUAUCGAGACAUACCUUUAGUAAAUACUAUUUCGUUUCCUAGACUAAUAUUAAUUGAGUGCAAUUUCUUAGAUACACAAAUACCCAUAUUUGUUGUAUUCAUAGCUGUAUUAGAAUUUUGGUCAAUGUGGAAUAGGUUCGAAGUAAAUCUGCAUUAUUUGAAAAAGAAAACAUUAUAUUUUUUUUUAGAUGAUAGCAUUGUUUAUGUUCAUAAAUUUUGUUUGAUAAAAAUUAUCAAUAUAAUGAAUUUAUUUUUUAUAAUAAGAAUCAAACCUAAAUCUUUAUGUAUAUUAUUCUAACACCGGUCACUAAAUGGAUCUUAAGGAAUAAUAUGAAUGAUUUAGUAAUUUAUCAUUAUUUAAGAAAUAUCAAUAUAAUUAUUUGGUAUUAAUACGAAAUUACACCUAUAUAGUAUUAUAAAACCCUGGAAAGUAAAUAAAAAAAAGUUGAAGGACAAUAAUGUAUUAAUGUUUGGUGGUAGAAGAAGAACAGAGGGUUUGAGAAAACUGUUGGGCUAUUUUGACUCAAUAUUUUUAUUAUUUAUCAUCUUUUUUUUAUAUAAACACCUUCUAUAAGUAAUGGGGGUUUAAAAAUCGAUGACAACAAUGAGUUAGAAGUACUGAAAAUAACAAGAUUUUAAAAUCGUCGAGAAUAACAGAAAUUUAAAAACCGUCAGAAAUUAUGGAAAUUCUCAAACCGUUGAGAAUUACAAAGUUCUCAAACUAUCAAGAAUUACGAGAUUUUCAAACUGCCAAUAGUAAUAGAGUUUCCAAACCGAUGUAAAAAUUCUUAAUCAUUACAAAAAAUAAAAAAUCACAUGUAAAAGCUCUUAAUCAUUACAUAGGGAAAAAAAAUCUGAAGUGAAUACUCGUAAUUAUUACAUACGAAAAAAAAUUCAUAUAUAAAUGCGUCUAGUCACUAGGAAAAAAAAUCGUACGUAAAAUUUCAUAUAUUAUUACUAAUAUUAUUAUUAUUUAUUAUUUAUUAUUUUUAUUCUUAAUAAUAAUAAUAAAAUUAACAAUAAUAAAAAUAUUUUUAUUAUCAUUAAUAAUAAUAAUAAGAUAAUAAUAAUAUUAGUAAUAGUAAUAAUAUCAAUAUUAUUACUAGAUAAAUUUAGUUUUUAUAUUAUUAUUACUAUAAUUAUUAUAAACAUUAUAUUCAAUUAUUUCCCAAGACGAAUCACCAAAUCUAUCAACCCACACUACCUUCACCAUAUUGAUGUUCUUGCCUUUGAGCUGGGUACUCUAAUGAUUUUCAAUCUUAAUUGAUUUUACUUUAAAAGACAUGUUAUCCUUGAUUUGCACAUUAUCCAUUUCCGGUUGCAAACUCCAAAGGCUUUAUCUUCUAAUCUGCAUAUGAUUUCUGCCAACUCUGAGAGGCUUUCAUCCUUUCAUGUAUCUGUCUCACCUUCUCAAUGGUAUGCCUUAGUAACUCUGGCCCAACCAAUGUUGUCUCAUCAUCUUGGUACCAACCUAACGGAGUUAUGUGUUGAACCAAGUGGUAUUCAAUGUUUUGAAGAAUCCAAAUCCUUUGGAGGAUGUUGAAGCCUCUGCUUUGCUGUGUGUUGUUGUGCUGGUUUAAGCUUUGUUCUGGGGUAGUUUAAUGUUGUAAUCCACCCUUAGAUUAAAUCUCAAGCAAUUAGCAUCUCAAUCUUUAUCAAAGUAAAAUGUUUUUCAAACUAAGUUGAAACAACCGAUUGUUUUGUCGAAACAACCGAUUGUUUACACUUAGGUGUUUUGAGAAAGUUUGAAAACUGUUUUUGAAUGGUGAAAUCUGUUAAGUAACAAAACAACCGAUUGAUUCGAGGAAACAAUCGAUUGUUUGUUUUGAAACCAUAACAGAAAAACUGUUUUCUUUGACUGAGCUUUAAAUGCUUUAACUGAAUACGCUCCAGUCAUUAAAUGCUUUGACCAAUCUAUUUUAAAUGCAAUUAAGAGUUUGUUAAGAUUUGAUAACAAACUAUANNNNNNNNNNNNNNNNNNNNNNNNNNNNNNNNNNNNNNNNNNNNNNNNNNNNNNNNNNNNNNNNNNNNNNNNNNNNNNNNNNNNNNNNNNNNNNNNNNNNUGAGACAAAGUUUAAGAAUAACAACUAAGAGUUUUUCAAAGAGUUCUGAGAUUGCUUAAGAGUUGAGAGAUUGAUCAAGGUGCUGGAAUAGGAUUCUACUUGUAUUGAUUUCAGAUAUUCAUCUGUAACAAGUGUAAUCAUUUAAAACUGCUGAACAAUUUGUGUGUGUGCUUUGCUGAGAUUGGCUGUGUGUUCUUGAGGUGUUCAAGAUCAACAAUCUUAGUGUUGGCCAAGGAGAGUGUGUUUCUUGAGGUGUUCAAGGUCAUUCUCUUGGUUGUGGUGUAAGUGAUCAAGUGGUGAUUGCUUAGUGGUUAUCCUCAGGGUUUCUGAGAAGACUGGAUGUAGCUCUUGUUGGAGUGAACCAGUAUAAACAACUGUGUACAAUUUCUCUAUCCCUAUCUCUUUAAUUCAGUUUUGAUAUUUUGGAACUGGUAUAAACAACCGAUUGUUUUUCCAACUUUGUGCUUUUGCUGUUUGUUUUGGAAAAACUUAAUCCUUAAUCAAGGUUCUUUUGAAGAAUUUUCAUUCUAAGAUUAAAAGUUUACAAAAAUCUUUCUUAAACAAUUCACCCCCCCCUCUCGUUUAAGGCCAUAUAUUCUAACAAUUGGCAUCAAGAGCUUGGUUCUUGAAAGUUAUUCAAGUUUAUCUAAAAUAUUUUUUCUAUGGCUAGAAAACUAUCUUUUGAGGAGGGUGCUUCAAUCUACAAACCACCUUUAUUCUGUGGAUUGAAUUAUAAGUUUUGGGUAGCAAGAAUGAAAAUCUUUAUUGAGUCUAUUGAUCAAAGAAUUUGGGACUCAAUUGAGAAUGGUCCUUACAUUCCAAAAUUCAAAAAGGAUAAUUCCUUUAUUACAAAACCUUUGUCCAUUUGGACAAAUGAUGAAUGUAAGAUGGCUCAGCUUGAUAAGUCUGCUCAAAACAUUAUAGCUUAUGCACUAGAUACUAAUGAAUUUUUCAGGAUAUCAAAGUGCAAAACUGCUAAGGAAAUGUGGGAGACACUCAAGGAUGCUCAUGAACCAAAGGAAGCAAUGACAAAGAGUCAAACAAGAAGAAAGAGAAGGCAAAAUAAGAAAAGCCUCAAUCUUUGCUUAAUGACCAGAAGGGAGGAUGACUCAUGUAGUGUAAGUUCGUCAAAUUCUUCAAACUCGGAAAAUUAUGGUCAAUUGCUUCAAGCCUUUCAAGAAACGCAUGAAGAAGCCAACAGAUUGGCUCUCUUGAACAAUCGAUUGAAAGAAAAGAAUAGCUGGCUUGAAAACAGAGUAAAGGCACUGGAAGAGGAUUUAGAAAAUUCAAAAAUGGAUUUUGAGAAUCUGGAAAUCAUUUACAAAAACUCCUCUUGCAAGUGUGAUACUCCAGUUUGUGAAAAUUGCGAAAAUCUUGAAAAGAAUGUCCACUAUCUUGUUAAAACAGUGGAUAAGCUUUCUAAAGGCCAAUCUAACUUNNNNNNNNNNNNNNNNNNNNNNNNNNNNNNNNNNNNNNNNNNNNNNNNNNNNNNNNNNNNNNNNNNNNNNNNNNNNNNNNNNNNNNNNNNNNNNNNNNNNUAGAUUUUCAAAAUCAUUUUCGAAAAUGCCAGAAAAACAAUCGAUUGGACCAUCGAAACAAUCGAUUGUUACAUGCUUCUAUUGCAUGAAAAGAGGUCAUUCUGUGCGAUUCUGUAAAAUCAGAAAACAUGUUGUUCCUAAAGGGCUUAUGAAGUGGAUUCCCAAGAAAAAUAAAGCUUGUAUUGAUGAGUAUAAACCAGAUGGACCCACAUUCAUAAGGGGACCAAACCUAUGUACUUGAAAAUCUUUUUUGUAGGACAUCUUGGAGGAAAGAAAGCAACUUUGGUACUUGGACAGUGGAUGCUCCAAGCAUAUGACAUGGGACAAAUGAAAGUUCCUGAGAAUAUCCUUCAAGCAAGAGGGUCAUGUCACCUAUGGAGACAACAACAAAGGAAGAAUUCUUGGAAGAGGAUCCAUAGGAGAUGAGAGAAUCUUGGUGAUCCAUGAUGUGCUCUUUGUUGAAGGCCUAAAGCAUAAUCUUCUGAUCAUUAGCCAACUAUGUGACAAGGGGUAUCAAGUGAUGUUCAAGAAAAACUCAUGUGAAAUCUGUCUGCCCAACACCAAAGAGGUAAUGUUGGUAGGUAAGAGAGUUAACAAUGUGUAUCUUCUAGAUAUCUCUUCACCAUGUUCAAUUGGAUGUCUUCUAUCCAAGCAAGAUGAAUCUUGGCUUUGGCAUAGAAGAAUUGCUCAUAUUCACAUGAAUCAUUUGAACAAGCUAAUUUCAAAAGAUCUCGUGAUUGGGCUGCCAAAACUCAAGUUUGAGAGGGAUCACAUUUGUGAAGCUUGCCAAAAAGGGAAACAAGUGAAAAGUUCUUUUAAAACCAAAAAUGUUGUCUCUUCAUUGAGACCUCUUGAACUCCUUCACAUGGAUCUCUUUGGACCCUCUAGAACUAUGAGUCUUGGUGGAAAUUAUUAUGCUCUUGUUAUUGUUGAUGAUUUCUCUAGGUACACUUGGACUUUGUUCUUGGAAUCAAAGAGUGAUGCCUUUGUUGCAUUCAAAAAGCUAGCAAAAAGGCUUCAAAACACAAAGAACAACAACAUAGGCUCCAUAAGGAGUGACCAUGGAGGAGAAUUCCAAAAUGAGAAGUUUGUCAAGUUCUGUGAGAAGUUGGGGAUUCUACACAAUUUCUCUGCUCCAAGAACACCACAACAAAAUGGAGUUAUAGAGAGGAAGAACAGAUCUCUUGAAGAGCUUGCAAGGACAAUGCUUAGUGAGUCAUCACUUCCUAAGUAUUUUUGGGCAGAUGCAGUGAGCACCUCUUGUUAUGUGAUGAAUAGGGUGCUUAUAAGGCCCAUUUUGAAGAAAACUCCAUAUGAACUUUUCAAUGGAAGGAAGCCUAACAUCAGUCACCUCAAAGUCUUUGGUUGCAGUUGUUUCAUUCUCAACAAUGGAAAGGAAAGUUUGGGAAAAUUUGAUGAGAAAGCUGACCUUGGUAUUUUCAUUGGUUACUCACUCACAAGCCAUGCAUAUAAAGUCUACAACAAAAGGCUAAUGACUGUAGAAGAAUCAGUUCAUGUAGUCUUUGAUGAGGUAGAUCACGAAAUCAGUGAGAACCCAAAGAUCAGUGCUGAGGAAGACGAACAGAGCAUCAGUUUGGAGAAGCUAGAUAUCUGUGCAGAAAAACAACCGGUUGAUUCGCAGAAACAACCGAUUGAAAUUCUGCAACAGAGUGAGCUGCCCAAAGAAUGGAGGAUUCCUAGAGAUCUGUCUGUGGAUAACAUCAUAGGGCAGAUAAAGGAAGGUGUCUCCACACGUAGCUCCAUCUCAAACUACUGCAGACACACAACUUUUGUUUCUCAAAUUGAACCAAAGUCAAUUGAGGAAGCUCUUAAGGAUGAGAAGUGGGUUGAAGCUAUGCAUGAAGAGCUAAACCAAUUUGAAAGAAAUGAGGUAUGGUUUCUUGUCCCUAAAACUAAUGAAAUGAAUAUUAUUGGUUCAAAAUGGGUUUUCAGGAACAAGCUAGAUGAGGAUGGAGUGAUCACUAGAAACAAAGCAAGGCUAGUUGCCAAAGGCUACAANNNNNNNNNNNNNNNNNNNNNNNNNNNNNNNNNNNNNNNNNNNNNNNNNNNNNNNNNNNNNNNNNNNNNNNNNNNNNNNNNNNNNNNNNNNNNNNNNNNNCUGUGAGGCUGCUGCUGGCUUUUGCUUGUAUGAGUGGUUUUAAACUCUUCCAAAUGGAUGUAAAGAGUGCCUUCUUGAAUGGCUACAUCAAUGGGGAAGUCUAUGUAGAUCAACCACCGGCUUUGAAGAUCACAAGUAUCCCAACCAUGUUUUCAAGUUGAAGAAAGCUUUAUAUGGACUGAAGCAAGCUCCAAGGCAGUGGUAUGAGAGACUUAGCAACUUUCUGCUAUCACAUGGUUAUGAAAGAGGAAUGGUAGACAAGACUCUCUUCAUCAAGAAGUCAAAUGCAGAAAUAAUUCUUGUGCAAAUCUAUGUUGAUGACAUCAUCUUUAGUGCCACACAAGAUAGGUUGUGUGAAGAAUUUGUGACUGCAAUGAAAGGUGAUUUUGAAAUGUCUAUGAUGGGAGAACUAUCUUUCUUUCUUGGAUUGUAGGACAAACAAACAAAGGAUGGGAUCUUCCUAAGUCAAUCAAAGUAUUGCAAGGAAAUUCUCAAAAAGUUUGAAAUGGAUAAUUGCAAAUAGGCAAGCACUCCAAUGCCAUCAAGCUGCUACAUGGAUGCAGAUGCUGCUGGAAAGAGUAUAGAUCAAACAAAAUACAGAGGUUUGAUUGGAUCAUUGCUUUAUCUAACAGCAAGUAGGUCGGACAUCAUGUUUGCGGUGUGUCUAUGUGCAAGAUAUCAAGCAAAUCCUAAAGAAUCACACUUCAAAGCUGCAAAAAGGAUUCUGAAAUAUCUAAAAGGAACAUCAUUUGUAGGACUAUGGUAUCCUUCUCAUUCUUUAUUACAUUUAAUUGGUUAUUCAGAUUCUGACUUUGCAGGUUGCAAGCUAGAUAGAAAGAGCACAAGUGGCACUUGUCACCUUCUUGGCUCAAGCCUAAUCUCAUGGCAUAGCAAGAAGCAAGCAUGUGUUGCUCUCUACUGUUGAGGCAGAAUAUAUAGUUGUUGGUAGUUGCUAUGCACAGAUCCUAUGGCUCAAACAACAACUUGCAGAUUUUGGUUUACAAAUCAGCAAAGUUCCUUUGAUGUGUGAUAACACAAGUGCAAUAAAUCUUACCAAAAAUCAAAUCCAGCACUCAAGGACCAAACAUAUUGAAAUAAGACAUCAUUUCAUCAGAGAUCAUGUGCAAAAUGGGAACUGUGAAGUAAAGUUUGUGGAGACCAAACUGCAGCUAGCUGACAUCUUCACAAAGCCUUUGCCAAAAGAGAGGUUCUUCUUCUUAAGAAAUGAAUUAGGUAUUCUUGAUCUUAAUAAUCUCUCUUAAAUAUGUCUUUGAUACAUGUUAAAGUCUAUUUGUAAAGACAAAUAGGGGGAGAAUUAUUGGUUCUUGUAUAUCUGUGUCUUAUAUGCAUAAAAUGUUUAAAUCUCUGAGUAUAAAAGUGUUUUCUGUUGCUGCUGAUAGAAACAACCAAUUGUUUCGUGUAAACAACCGAUUGUUUAUUAUGUUUAAAGAGUUAUAAUCUAACUUGUUGCUGUAAGAAGCUUUGGACAGUAUAAAUGUUUUUUUUGCAAGAAUUGCUUCAGAUUUAAUCAGUACAACACAAGCACCAGGGAUUUGUCUUCAUCAAAUAGGGGGAGAUUGUUGAACCAAGUGGUGUUCAAUGUUUUGAAGAAUCCAAACCCUUUGGAGGAUGUUGAAGCCUCUGCUUUGCUGUGUGUUGCUGUGCUGGUUUAAGCUUUGUUCUGGGGUAGUUUAAUGUUGUAAUCCACCCUUAGAUUAAAUCUCAAGCAAUUAGCAUCUCAAUCUUUAUCAAAGUAACUGGAAGAAAGUGAAUGCUCUUCAGUAGUCGAUCAACUAUCCCCUAAACUGGAUCAUGACCCCUUACUGCUCUUGGUAAUGGGUAACAAAAUCCAUAGCAAUGUUAUCCCAUUUCCACUCAUGAAUAAUAAUAAAAAAAUUAUAUUAAUAAUAAUAAAAAAAAUUAUAUUAAUAAUAAUAGUAUAAAUUAUAUUAAUAAUAAUAGUAUAAAUUAUAUUAAUAAUAAUAGUAUAAAUUAUAUUAAUAAUAAUAAUAUAAAUAAUAACAAUAGUAUAAAUUAUAUUCAUAUUAUUCAUAUUAAUAAUAUUAUUAAUACUAUUCGUAUUAUUAAUAUUAUUCGUAUUAUUAAUACUAUUCGUAUUAUUAAUAUUAUUCGUAUUAUUCAUACUAUUCAUACUAUUCAUAUUAUUAAUACUAUUCAUAUUAUUAAUACUAUUCAUAUUAUUAAUAAUAAUAAGUAUAAUAAAAAUCAUAAUAAUAUUAAAGAAUUUGUUUGGUGUUGUGGUUAAAGUUUUUUUAGUUAUUGAAGGAACUUUUGUUCGAAUCUCAUCCAAUGCUGAUUUUAUUUUAAUUUCCCUUUCAUGGUGCCAAAGUUACAUACGAAAAAAUAUGUAUGUAAUACCUGUUUACAUACGGAUUUUGAUCCCCUGGAUAAUUCAUCAAAUGAAAAUCAUAAUUUCAUAAACUCCACCCAUCUUCUCUACUUCAUAUUCAACUCCUUUUAAUCAAACAAGUAUUUUAGAUUUUUGUGAUCCUUAAACACCUGUAAUUAAGCUCCAUACAAAUAAUGUCUUCAAAUCUUCAAAGUAAACACCACAAAUACCAACUCUUAGUUAUAAAUAGGAUAAUUUCUCUUAUGAACUUUGAGUUGCCUUAAAGCAUAUGUUGUCUUCUCUAACAUUAAAACACAAUUCAAUCCUUUACGUGAAGCAUCAUAAUAAACCUUGAUAGAUUUUUCUAUAUGAGAAAUCACCAACAUUGAAUUACUAACAAACCUUUUCUUCAACUCCAUGAAACUUUCCAGUAUCUCUCAGUGCAAAAGUUUGAUUUUCAGAAGUUAAUUGUGUCAAGGUGCUUCUACCUUGAAAAAAUAUCCGAAACAAAAGUGUUGUUAAUUAGUCUCAAACAGAUAGGUAGUAUACUGUGUUAUGAAAAUAUUUGCAGGUUCCUUCUGUGUCCUUUUCAACUUCAUCUUCUCCCUUGCAACCAGCGAUAUCGGUGACUUAUUAUCGCUUGAAUCUAACUCAUGAGUGAAUGAAGUCCAGCUCUAGCAACUAACUCAAAACUGGGAGAGAAGGAGUUCGCGACGGAGUUUGUGGCGGAGUUUGUGGUGGACUAGGUGGUUUAAUAGGCUUUAAAAUACUUUGAAAAGAAUGGGAAGCAGAGGAUAUAAUGGCAGGAGGGGUAACGACGGGUACUCAAACGAGUAUACCACCUUCUUCUUCUCAAAUUUCCCUCAUGGAUAUGGGGAGAUGGACAUGGUGAAGAUUUUUCAAAAACAGGCCAAGGUGAAAGAAGUUUUUAUCUCACGAAGGUUGAACAGAUGGGGGAGAAGGUUUGGUUUUGUGAGGUUUUUUUACGUGAGAAAUGUGGGACGCAUGGAGAGAGACCUGGAUAGCUUAUAUAUCGGGAACAUGAAACUUCACGUAAAUAUACCGAAAUACCGAAGGAAUACAAUGGGAAUACAUAAGGGGGACAGGAAGGAUCCAAGGGCAUCUCACUCUGGAAGGAAGAGGGAUGGAGGGAAGCGUAAGGAGGUUUGGGUGGAGAAGAAAAGGAAUUUGUCCUAUGCUGAAGCUGUGAAAGGGGAAGUGCAGUAGGAAGAGUGGAAGGGGAGAACGAUAGAAGUUGAAACGCAUAGUCUCCCUUGGAUGGAAAAAAGUGUUGUUGGGCAUCUUAAGGAAGGCAUGGACUUCGAUCAACUGAGUGAGGAUUUAGUGAAAGAAGGCAUGAAUAGGUUGAGAGCAAGAAUGUUGGGAGAUAACCUAAUCCUUCUAACCCCAAGAGAAGGGGAGAAAGCUAGGGAUAUUAUCAAGGAUAACAAUGAAUGGUUUGACAAUGUCUUCACAAGCAUAAAGUCGUUCCUGGAACGGUGAAGAGCAUGCAAAUCAAUAAACAAAGGUGUUGUAUCCUUAUUGAAGAAGAGACCCCUGUUUACUAUGGUGACUUGAAUAUGGUAAACGAGUGUGGUUAUGGAUCGUUUGUUAGUGUGUCUUCCUCGGACACAUAUGUAGAAGAAACAGCCUUUUCAACCAGAAGCGGGGAGGAGGAGAUUCAUUCGGGGUUUAGGGAGGUUGUUCGUUCAAAAGGGGAGGAGGUGGUAGGUGAGACGACGGAAGACGGUGAGCAGAGUAGGCAAAAAAUAAAUUUGCCUUUUGGGAAAUCAUAUCCAAAAAAUCUAUCAUGUCAGAGGAGUGGGUGCAGUUCCUUCAUGAAUGAAGAAAGCUUAGGCCAGAGGGUGGCUCAAGGUGCAAAACUAGAUUGUGACCUUACACAAAAUCGUAAAUACUCAUCCAACGGCUAUGCUGAAAAUGCUGAGCUGGCAAAAGCGGUCAUAGAGGUGGAGUGUUACACCCCGAUGCGAAAAAUCUGGGCCACGAGCUGGAGGCCCAUUAUCACGUAUUAUAGUCCUCAAAUCCAGCCCAAUCCAAGGAGGAUGAUCCAAGGAGGAUGGUUAUGAGGCAGGGCCUUUGCAGAAGGGUUGUGAAUGUGGGGAAGGAAAAGAAGACCGUUUGGACGACAACACGAACGGUGAAAAGGAGGAGGGAAGUGCCGAUGAGAGUGAAGGAAGCGAUAAAGGGAACCCAGCGAAGGCGCAUAUGUUAAUGACGUCGAAUGCGGUGAACGAGUGUCUACAAGUAGGGGGAGAGGAAAGAACUCUGAUCCUGGACAUUCUAGAGGAAGCAACUGAGGGAGGCAACACCUCUACUCCGCCACGAAGACGAAAGCUGAAAGGGCUCUUUGAACUAGGGGAUUCGAUAUCCUUUCUGAGAAGAUCUGUGAGACUCAUUUCAAGGAGUGCUAAAGCUAAGCCCUCUUCAAGUGGUAGAGACGGUAUGUGCUCAAACUCUGUAUCUGAUGGGGGAGUUGUCAAUUGCAAUUUACGUUUUUCUGGGCCUAGUGGUAUGGCGGAUCCAUCUAAACGGUGGGAGAUUGGAAAGAAAGCUGGGCUUAAAUGUCGGGGGGAUGAGGAAGAGGUUGUUAAUGAAUACAUCUGUUUGGAAAAGAGAGAUACAGAGGUUAUGAAGAACUAUGAGGAGGGAGACAAGAAUGAUAAUAUAUGUUGAUUGUUAAUUUGAAUAUAAGAGGAUUGGGGGGAAGUGUUAAGGCUAGGUACUUGAGACAUAUUAUUGCAAGAGAGGAUGCGAAUUUUGCUUGUAUUCAAGAAACGAAAGUGAAUGCCAUUACGGAUGCAAGAUGCUUCAACCUAUGGGGGGGAUAACAAUGUGGGGUGGCUACAUUAUGGAGGUGAUAAUGGUAGUGGAAGCUUGUUAUCCUUAUGGCAUAAAGAAGCGUUUUGCUAUGAAACACAUGUGAUGGCGAAGAAGUUCAUUGCUGUUUUUGGAAAACAUAUUAAAUCCAAUUGUAGUUGUGUGGUGGUAAAUGUUUACGCAGCCUGUUCUUUAAGUGACAAGUUAGUGUUGUGGAGGGAACUGUCAGAUUUAAAAAAGGCCUCCUCAGAUGUGGUAUGGUGUUUCUGUGGUGACUUUAAUGCCAUUAGAAAGAAUGGUGAGAGGAAAGGUGUUAGCAUGAGGGACGGCAACACGAGCGAAAUGAGAGAUUUUAAUCUGUUCAUCGAAGCUAAUCUUUUGUUUGAAAUCCCUUUGGUGGGUAAGCCCUUUACGUGGUUUAACUCUAAUGGGAAGGCCAAGAGUAGGUUAGACAGAGUGUUGGUAACCGAAGAAUGGAUGCAAACAUGGCCUAUGUGUAAGCAGUAUGUGCAAAACAGGGAGGUCUCUGAUCACUGUGCAAUAGUGGUGAAGUCUGUGGAUAAGGAUUGAAGCCCAAAACCCUUUAGAACCAUCGAUGCCCGGUUUAUGGAAAGGGGUUUUGGUGUAAUGGUUAAGGAUAAGUGGAGUUCUUAUGUAAUACAAGGGAAUGCACUCACGGUAUUAAAAGAGAAGAUGAAGAGGUUAAGGGUGUUCUAAAGGUAUGGAACAGGGUUGAAUUUGGUAAUAUGGAGAACACUAAGAAGGCUAUUUUGAAGGAAAUAGAGACGCUAGACUGCCAAGACUGCAAUGGUGCUUUGAUGAAAAGUGAGAGGCUACAUAAGAUUGGGUUGGUGAGUAAACUGAAGGAGACUGAUCAGAAGUUGGAGUCCCUUAUAUGCCAAAAAGCUAGAGCCAGCUGGUUUAAGAAUGGAGACUCAUGUUCUAAAUUCUUUCAUUCAACCCUGAGAUGGAGACGCCUCAAAAAUGAAAUUAAAGGGGUGGAGGUGGGGGGUCAAUGGUGCGAGGAACCGCCUACUGUUCGUAAGGAAGCAAAGAAGAUGUUUGAAAAAAGAUUCAAAGCCUCAAGAGACUUCGAGGUAGUAUUAGAAGGGGUGGAGUUUAAAGCUUUAACCCAGGAAGAUAAUACCAAUCUGAUGGCAGAGUUCUCAGAGAAAGAAAUGAGGGAAGCAGUAUGGCGUUGUGAUGGGUCGAAGAGUCCAGGACCUGAUGGGUUUAAUUUUAACUUCAUUAAGAAUAGUUGGGAGGUCAUAAAGGAAGAAGUUAUGGGUGUUAUGGCUGCCUUUUAUGCUUCUGGUUAUAUUCAAAAGGGAUGCAAUGCUUCUUUCAUAGCACUAGUUCCUAAGGUAAGGGACCCCGUAAUGCUAGAACAGUAUAGACCUAUUUCUCUAGUAGGGGCUAUGUAUAAGAUUAUUUCUAAGGUCUUAGCAGAAAGAUUAAAGAAGGUCUUACCCUCCAUUAUAGAUGAAAGUCAAUCGGCUUUUCUAAAGGAUAGAGGGAUUCUUGAUAGUGUGCUUUUGGUCAAUGAAGCGAUUGAGGACCUGAGAAGGAGAGGGAGGAGUGGGUUAUGUAUGAAGGUAGACUUUGAGAAAGCGUACGACUCGGUCAGCUGGGCUUUCCUCUAUGACAUGUUACAAAAGUUGGGGUUUCAUAGUAAGUGGAUUGCUUGGAUCCGAGGAUGUAUGGAAAGUACCACAGUCUCAGUGCUUGUUAAUGGAAGCCCCACGGAGGAAUUUAAACCCUCUAGAGGGGUGCAUCAGGGCGAUCCAUUAGCCCCAUUCCUUUUCUUAGUGGUAGCAGAAGGCUUGAAUGGUAUAGUAAGACAAUCUCUGAAGGAAAGGCUGCUCACAGGCCUCAAGUUCGGUAGAGACGAGAUCGAAUUGGCUAUUCUCCAGUUUGCGGAUGACACAAUGUUCCUAUGUGAGGAUUUUUACAACAAUGUGGUGACUUUAAAGGCUAUUCUUCGAGGAUUUGAGGUGGCCUCAGGGUUGAAGAUUAAUUUCUACAAAUCAAAAUUAGCAGGUAUCAAUGUCCUCAGACACAAUAUGGCAUGUUACACAAAGACUUUGAACUGUGCACAGAUGAGUAUUCCGUUUAAAUACUUGGGUUUGGAAGUGGGAGGGAACCCUAGGAAGAAAAAUUUUUGGGAUCCGGUGGUUAACAAUUUAAAAGCCAGACUUAAUGUGUGGAAAGGGAGAUUCUUAUCUAUGGCGGGAAGAAUAUGCCUUAUCAAAGAUGUGCUUACUGCUAUUCCACUCUACUAUCUAUCUCUUUUCAGAGCACCGGUAGCGGUGUGUAAGAGUAUCACCAGAAUUCAGAGAAGGUUUCUGUGGGGUUGGGGGAAGGAGAAGGAACCCAUCUCAUGGAUUAGUUGGAAAAUGGUUUGCAAACCAAGAGAGGAAGGUGGUCUGGGACUUAGAGAUAUUCAGAACUUUAACAUAGCUUUGUUGGCUAAAUGGAAAUGGCGUCUUAUAGGUGAAGAGAAGGGGAGGUGGAAGGAAAUGGUGGUCUCCAAGUAUGGAUCGGGUUAAGAAGUCCCACAAAUACCAGUGAGACUCCAAUCUUGGUGGUGGAGAGAUCUGUCUAAAGCUUGUGGGGAGGGCGGAGAUAAAGGAUGGUUCCAAAAAGAAGUAGGGUGGAAAGUAGGAUGUGGUGACAAAGUAAGGUUUUGGGAGGAUGUCUGGAUUGGGAAUUCUAGCCUUAAAAAUAUGUUUCCUAGAUUAUUUACUCUGUCCCUGAAUCAGGGGCAAAAGGUGGAAGAGGUUGGUAGGUGGGGCGAUGUGAUAUGGAGGUGGAACUUAAGGUGGAGACGUGCAAGAUUUGAGUGGGAAUCCAAGUUGGAAGAAGAGAUGUUAGUGUACUUGUCUACGACCAGUUUGCUCCGAGAAGAGAAGGAUGGGCAUACGUGGGGGAGUGAAGAUGAAAGGUGUUUUUCAGUGAGUUCUGCAUAUGUGUGCUUGGCUAACCAAGGAAGAGGACCACGCCUUGGGGUGUUUAAACUUCUUUGGAAGGCUAAAUCUUUCCCUAAUGUGGUGACCACGGCAUGGAGGGCCCUGACGGAUAGUCUACCAACUAGAGAGAGGUUGAGCAAGAAAGGGGUGAUGUUGAAUAAUCCCCUAUGUGUCCUUUGUCAGACUAAGGUAGAAUCCAGUCAACAUCUUUUUAUGGAAUGUAAACAUGCGCUGUGUGUAUGGUCGAUGUGCUUAAGAUGGGUUGGUAUAGUGCUUGUCCAACAUAAUGACAUAAAGAUCAACUUUGAGAGUUUCCACUUGUACCAUGUUAAUAAUAAACAAAAUUUGGUUUGGAGUGGGGUUUGGGUAGCAAUUGUGAGGAGUAUAUGGGAUCAAAGGAAUGAGGUGGUGUUCAAGCAGGGAGUAGUAGAUGCAUAUGAGAUUUUCCAAAAUGCCCAAAUCAAAGCAUGGUUAUGGUUAAAACAUAAAUCAAACUUUUUCACUUACUCUUAGGUAGAUUGGAUCCUAAAUCCAAUGGUAUGCAUCACAAGCUUGAAGUAAGUGGGGCGGAAGGCAGCUACUUGGUGUGACGAAGGCAGGAGGUGGUGUAGGUGUAUCUGGAGGGAGAUGUUAUCACAAGGAAGAGAGCUGACGUGAGAGGGAUGAUAUGGUGAAGGAGCUCUCCUCUGCUGCAGUUGUACGAUAUCUGUGGAGUCAUUGUAUUCUGUUUUCUAUGCAGGUGUGCGUAAGGAUGGAAUAGAUUCUACGUUGGUUAGAGUAGUAAAAUAUGUGGAGCUAUAAACUGGUGUAGCUGGAACUUGGUGGUGAAUACAUAUGGGAGCCGAGUAGACGCAGAACAAGUUGGAGCUGCAGAAGAGGUCCCGAUGAUGCAGAGCUACGGUGGUAACAAGGAUUCAUCCUCCUUGCGACUUUGGAUGCGGAAACUCUUCCUAUGCCAAGGUUUUUGCUGAUCAUUACAGUGUUUCAUGUUUGGGAUAGCAUCGCUGUAAGUUAGUUUAGUGCCAUCAGGUUAUGCUUUUUAGCAGGAUGGGAUUAAGAACCAUUUUAUUUUGUUGUUGUCUAGCUUUUAUUGAAAACGUGGUGAAACCCACGUGUGUAGGGCCUUGCUGAGAGGUUCAUCUGCUGCAGGUUUGGAAGCCUAAAUUACAUGGGAGCUCCACAUGUGACGGAUGGGUUGUUGUAUAAGGGUUGGGACAUCCCUGAAAUGUUCCUAUUAAUUUAUUUAUUCUUUGCUGAUAAAAAAAAAAAUAUUUGAAACAAAACUAAAUUCACAAAACUCCUUAUUUCUUUCUAUGACUAUCUUAUAUGUUUCUUAGAUAUUCCUUUUAAAACACUGUCUUCCACCUCGACCAAAUCUACGGAGAUUUCCUUAGCUGAUAUCACAUCUUCAAGUAAAUUAACUUCCUUCAGCUAGAACAUCCCACUAAGUUGUAUCUGUAUUGUUAUCAGAGUUGAAUCUCCUUUCCUCUCUCAAACAACCCACAAGUUGUAUCUCUAUUGUCAUAUAAUUCAAUCACAUUUUUAACGUGAGGCAACACGGAAGAUAUUCCAGCUACAUUUUCUUUGGCUCUCGUUUAUACACGUAAGUGAGAGUGAAUAUGCGGUUCCCUCAAACAAUGCAGCGUACGUAAACUGUUAUAUAUAUUCAUCAUAUAUAUUCAAAAUCUACCCCAACAUAGCACAGUGACACAACUGAAAAGUGUGUCUGCAUUACAACAUUAAAAUGUAUUUAGUAUCGUACAUGAUCAUGAGUAGCAAUGUGUACUAAAAAGUUUGAGUCCCAGAGUCUUCACUGUAAGUCUGUGGCUCAUUCAAACAUGUCCACUCCUUUACUCUAUCUCCAAAAUCCUUGAAGCCAACUUCUGCAUAGUCCUGGAACGGUGCAAUAAUUAUAUAAAAUAACUUUUAAGAUUAACUAAAAUAUAUUUGCUUCAUCUUAAUUGAUCAUAUUUUGUAAUCUGUUUGGCUACAGAUUAGCUUCGUGAUCUGUGGAUGUCACUGUAUUGGUGUAGUGUUUUGUAAAUUUUUUCAUUGGUAGGUAUAUUUUAUAUAAGGAUUGGGUUCAUUUAAUUUAUUUCUUUUUAUUGAUAAAAGAAAUCUUAGUUUAUCCGCACGUCUUAAUUUUUUUAAAAAUAUAAACAUAUUGUAAAUCUUAAAUUUAUGCUAAUAUCCUUUAAUAUUGUUCUAGAAACGAAAAGGUGAUUAGUCGUGGUAACUUUUUAUUCAACGUAAUUAUUAAAUUCUAAAUCCCAAAAAUAUCUCAUAUGAUUUUCUUCCACCAUUUUAUUUAUAAUGUUAAAAAUACUCGUGAUUCUAGUAUUUCGAAUUUGAUAAAAAUUAAAAAUUAACUAGUACAUUAGCAAAAUAUUUAAUUUUAAUUCAUUCAAUAUUAUUGAUAAAACUAUCUUAAAAACUUUUCCAUGAUUAUGGUUGGAUGAUAAUCGUUAAUUUAUAAAACUCAUAUUAUUAGAAUAGAUUUUAUUAGUGUAAUGUUUAAAUGAAAAAGAGGUUGUCAGAAAAAUGUAUUAUUAAAUUUUGAAUACUGUAAAUAAAACAAUAAGCAUUGAUCAACAUUCUUUAUUUAAUUCCUUCUACGUGCAAGCAACUUUUUCUUGUAUAAAGAGCUCGAUCCUACAUACCGAUAGCUAUUAAAAAUAUUUAUUUAACUGAGUUUUUCUUUAUUAAAUAUGAAACAAUGAAAAAAAAAAUAGACAUUGUCCACAUCAGUUAAAAUAAUGUAAAAAAAAUUUGGCGCUUAGGUAACCCACUAUCUACACUUAUCAUGGAACUCACAUUGGUACCUUAUGUUUCAAAUUCUCCCAGCAGAGCUGCAUAUAUGAAUUACAGAGACCUUGAUAUUGGGGUAAAUAACAAUGGCUACACAAGCUACACACAAGAUAAAUAAUUUUUUAAUUUAUAUUUUGUUAAACAUGUACGAUCAAUUAAACUAAUAUUCACUACCAAGUAGUACAGUCAACUUAGUUAUUUCUAAGUCGAUCGACACAAAUAGAAUUCACUUAAUAUUAGACUAUAAUUCACUUAAUAUUAGACUAUAAUAGAGUAGGUUUAAUCAUUCUAAGUCGAUGCUAAUUAUUUUAACAUUCUUAACCAGUAAAAAUAUUUUAUGUUAGUGUUAAAUUAAUGUUAAUUUUGUCAAUGCUAACUAAUAUAAAUAUUAAAAUUAGUAAAUGAUGGAAGAAGUGUCUUCAUGUGUGACAAAACUUGAAUGAUGGUGGCGAAAGCAUAUGAAAGAGGCAUGCAAGGAUCUCCUAAGAGAUGUGGUAUCUUUAAAGGUGCAUGAGAUGUAUGAUGAGUGAUAGGUUAGGCCUAAUCACUUGAAGGGUGAAGAAUGAAGAUCAAACGUCUAUCCUAGGAAGAGUAGAAGACAAGAGUGUAAUUGGCAUAAAUUUUGCAAAAAUUCACUCAUAUGCUUAAUUUUGCAAAUACAUGAACCAAGCUACUCAUUAUAUAACAAUUGAGGGCUGAAAAUUCAAAUGAGGGAAAUUCAAAUGAACUUUCCACCAAAACGUGGCGUCUAAUGAAACACAUGGGAGGGGUGUGACUAGUGUUGUACGCUCACCCCCUUUAUGGGCUUUCUAAACCGACCUUGGUUAAUUUAGAGGUUUUAGAAACCCUAAAUUAACCUAGGUUGGUGUUUUAGGUGCCAAAAUUAAUUCUAAGAAAAAAUACAAAUAAUUUCCUAUUCUAAUUAAAUUCUACUCUACACUAGAGUUACGACAUCCUUGAUCAUGUAUUGGGAAGUUUCUCUGUUGUCAGUAGCCAUAUCCCAGUCUUCUUGGAUCUUCUUGGCUGUAGCUCUAGUGGUAGGCCCGAAUCUUCUCUUUGUUGGACUUGUAUUUGAACUUGUCCUUAGACCUCUUCCAUCAGUAAGGUUCGUAUAAACCUAGUUGAUGCUAAUAUUAUUUAUUGUCUAUUUCUAUUAUUUAUAUUUAUUAAGUUAGUGUAAGUUAGAUCAACAUUAAUUUCUUUAUUUUAUUACUUAUUUAAGUUAAGUCAACAAUAGUAUAAUAUAUUUUUAAUAUUUAUUUAAGUUAGUGUCAGUUAAAAUGAUGUUAAUUCAUAUGUUAUGAAUUUAUGUGUAUUGGUAAAAAUAAAUAUAAACCAUGAAUUAUUUUUAAUCAAAAGGCAUUCAUAAUUUGAAAGUGAAGAUCGUCCUCAACAUAUCAUUCAUAAUUUCAUUAGUUUUAAAAAAUUACAUAAAAAGAAAAUAAUGUAAUAUAUUUAAGACACUGUAAUAGUAUAUAUUCUAUAAUAAAAGAUUGAAUAAACAUAAUAGUAUAUAUUCUAUAAUAAAAGAUUGAAUAAACAGGAAGAACCAUAAUGUAGAUUUUUUUUUCAAAAUGGUAUAGUUGAUAUGAAAUUAUCUUAUGUUAAUGAAAAAACACUGAAUUGGAAUAAAUGCUUUCUCUUACACACAGAGGAGAAAUUUUUCCCUAUGAUUUAUUAUAAUAAUGACAAAACUUAAUUUUACGAAAAAUUGAUUCCUAAGAAGAAUAAAUGGAAGACUUGCAUUUUUUGUUGUUUUAUGUUUAAUUAUAGGUGAGAAAGAUCUUUUUCCAGCAUGAUAACUUGUUAAGAUUUCAACAUCCAACAUGUUCAUGUAGAAUCCACAACAUAGUAAUCUUGUUCCAUUACAUAACACAAAUUUAGGGUCUAUGUUUCACAAGAAUGGUGCCCCUUUUAUUAAGCUUUAAAAUAUGGGGUGGCAAGCCAUCUAAAGCAAUGGAGUGCAAAUACUCUUGUUGGUAUAUAUUAUGUGUGUCUCCUUCAACCUCAUCAAAAGACAAUAAAUGGUGUUGUUUUCCCGAAUAAUUAUCAAUAAUCAUGUCAUUAAUUUUUUUCAGCAACUUCAUGUUUUGGAGUCAAUACUCUCUUAACCAUAUAAAAUGCAAUCCAUAUAUGAAAUUGCAAUUGAGGAAAUGUUUCUUGUGUAAGUUUUUGUAUUAAACUCACUCAUUCCCAUGGUAUUGCUAGUUAAUGGAGUAUUUUCACCAUUUUUUUAUUAGCAAAGAAUAAAUAAAAUAAAAUGAGGCACUCAAGGGUGUCCCCAACCCUUAUACAAAUAAUCCCAACACAAGCUUCUUAUCACCCAACCAAUUGGAGAUCCAACAAACAUUAUGACACAUCAACAACAUUAACAUACCAUAAUAAGAUACAAGAGAACAUCAAUAUACAAUUACAUCAACCCUCCAAAGGAACACAUUCUCAAGACAAGACACAAAAGUCCAACAACUAAACUCAGUCUUUGUCAGUAAACAGAAGUAAACCAAACACCCAAGCGCCAAAUCCAUCAAGUCGACCCUACGAUGAGGAUAUAGUAGUCAAAAAUCCUGCACAAAACACACCACGUCUUCCAAAUCUGGACAAAUCAUUGAACAAGAAUCAUCAAACAUCAGUCUCUUAAAUAUCUCAUAUAACAUAAAGGUUUCAAAUACCAAUCCGAGUAGGAUAAAUCAACUAAUCUUUCCUUUACCAGAACCCAAGACCAAAAUUGGAGUAUUUUCACCAUUUCAUCAAGAAUUGUAGGUUCAAUCCCUUCUCCGAUGUGCUUGAGAUAUUCUACAAAAUUGUGAUCUUGUAAUGAUCAUAUGUUUUGUUGUAAAUGUAACACCUUUGUGUUACUUCAUAAAGGAGAUUUGACAAUACAUGCAUAAAUCAUUUCUAUCUUUGUACUCUUUUGAACGAUUAACAAUACUCAACAAAAAUCUCCUCCUAAUAUUCUCACUUUUACCUCAAAUGGAACAUCACAACUAGAAUCUCAUUUAAUGAUCGAUCUUAUGUCUUCAAAGCAUAUCUGUUAGUCAUGGGUGUUUCAUCACAAAUAAUUGUUUUUGUUUCUCUUAAUAGAUUUGCAAGAUCUAAUUAUUUGCUUAUUGAACAAAAGGAACUAAAGAAUGUGAAAUUCGACAACUAGGUAACAAUGUUGCUGCUAUACUAGAGAAGUUUGUUGCUAAAAUAAUUUUUCCUUUACAUUUGUAAUAUGCAAUUUAUGUACGGUAAAGGAAUGUUUUACUAGUUCCUCUUAGUCCAUCCAAAAAAAAUAUUUGAAUUUGCUUAUAAUGGAUUAUAUCUAAAAUGGUAUUAAAAGCAAUCAAAUGGUCAAUGUUUAACACUACAAAAAAACUUGUAUGUGGUGGCGGUUAUUAAAAACCGCUACAGUUAGUUGUAUAAUACGACAACUUCAUAACCGCCAUAAUUUUUCUUUAAAAUGUGGCAUGUAGAAUCACCAUAAUUAUCCUCUGAAAUAAAUGUUCUCCCGCAUUUUGUUCCCUAAGUAACCUUCCUCUUUCCUAAUGUUUUUUUUUUCGUAUUUCAUUUUUUCACUCUUAAAUAUACAACUUUGACUCUUUUUUCGUAUUCGGCCCUCACUCACUGAAUUUUCCCCUCUUUUGUAUUCCCCUCGCUGAACCUUCUCACCGUAACACAACCUCUCUAACUAAACCUUCCUCUAUUUUGUAUUCCCCUCUCUUAGUGAACCCUUUUCAUUGCAACUGUUCUCAUUCUGUGCAACCCUUCUCUUCUCACUCUCAUUAGAAAUCCUUCACAUUCUCAAUCUCACUGAAAGCCUUUCAUAGUCUCACCACAAACCCCUCUUCUCACUCUAAACGAAAACCCCUCUUCUCAUUCUUACCAGAAACUCUUCUUCUCAAUCUCAUCGCAAAGUGUUCUCACUCUCACUGUUUUCAGCCUCAUUGCAAACCAUCUCACCCUCUCACUCUUCACACCGUAAUUUUUUACCGCCAUUGCCGUCGCAAUCAUUGGUUUGUUGUUGCAACAGGUACAUCGUCGCAACGAAUCUACUUUUUUGCAAUGUUAUGAUUUUGAAAUUGGAUUGAAUAUAUAUUUGUUAAAUACUGUUUGAGGUAUGAGCUGAAAUGCAUUGAAUAUGAUUUUGAAAUUGGAGUAAAUGUAUAUUGCUAAUAUAGUUUGAGGGAUGGACUGAAAUGCAUUGAAUAUGAUUUUUAAAUUGGAUUGAAUAUAUAUUGGCAAAUACAGUUUGAGGGAUGUGCUGAAAUGCAUUGAAUAUGAUUUUGAAAUAUUGGAUUGAAUAUAUAUUGAUAAAUACAGCUUGAGGGAUGGCCUUAAAUGCAUUUUUUUUAUCAACAAAAGCCUGAAAUGCAUUGAAUAUAUAUUGUUAAAGUUUCGUGUAAAUAUCCUUAUCUAAGGUUUGGGAGACUAUAAAAGAUGUUGUGUUGAGUGAUAUGAAAAUAAAAUGUUUUCAAGGAUAAAAUAUAAUUAAAGGGUUGACAACAGUUUAUUUGUACCUUGUAAUGCGAUGAAUGGGGUUGACUUUUGUUGAAUCUUAAAUGUAAUAAUAAAGUAUAAUGUUAAACUGAUUAUCUCUUUUCAGUCCUUAAGCAUUUUGCUGUCCUUAUGCAUUUCCUUUUUCAUAAAUGUAAUAAUAAAACAUGAUGUUAAACUUCAUAUGUAAAUGCUUCUAGUUAUUAUAUAUGGAGAAAUUUUCACACCUAAAUGCUUCUGAUUAUAUAGGGAAAUUACAUAUGAAAAAACUUCAACAUGUAUACGCUCCUAAUCAUUAUAUAAAAAAAUAAAAAUUCACACGUAAAAAUUUCUACUUGACUAUGACGUCAUUGUCUACCAAAAUAUUCGUAUAUGAAUAAAAAAAUUGUAUAUAAAUUCCAAUUAUAUUCAAAAUAUAUAAAUGCGCCUAGUCAUUAAAAAAAUUAUUAUCAUUAAUAUUAUUCCUAUUAAUAAUAAUAACAAUAUUAUUUAUUAUUAAUUGUUAUUAUUAUUGAUAAUAAUAAUCAUAAUAAUAGUAAAAUUAUUAUUAUCAUCAUUAAUAAUAAUAAUAAUUAUAAAAAACUAAAUUAAUCAGUAAUUUUUGUUAUAUAUUUAGUUAUAAUAUUUGUGUUCGAUUCUACUCUAACAACACAGUAAUAUUAAUAAAAAUAAAAAUAUUAAUAAAAAUAAUUGUAAUAAUAAAAUUAGUUAUAAUCAAAAUAAUGAUAUUAAUGUCCAAUCAUUGCCUAAACAGUUUAUAAAAUUUUAAUACCUAAUGAUAUUUGUUGAUAAUUUUUGAAUGUUCUUUCCUCACAAAUAACGUGGUAUCUAUAUAUUGUCAGAACAACUGGUCAUUUAUAAUUCUCUCGGUGUGCUCUGGAAGUUUGUUUGCUGCAGAUUUAUUGCAGCUCAAUAGAGGACGCAAUGCUGCAGAUGAUGUGAAAGAAUUAAUUGCAGUAGGUGUUUCAACCACAACUGAUGAAGUUCUUUUAUAUCACGAACAUAUGGAUGGUGGCCUGAUUGUGAUUUUGGUUGAGUGAUACAAGGUGCAAUCUUGGUACACAGGAAUAAAGCUGAAGAUCUCGGCAGGAAGUAAUUCUGGUUGCUGCUAUAGGUAGUUGAGAGAGGUAGCACCAGUUAUUAAGCUUUGGAUGUGGAGGUUGUGUUGCAAGCCACUCGUUAAGGUAGUUGUCAAGUUGGUGGGAGGAUUACGUUGGUUUUCUGGUGGUUUUGAAAUCCUGUUUAGUGUUAUUUGCACCAGUCCAACAGAAUAAUAGAAACAGAAUGGAGGCUGGUGUAGGUUGUUUAUUUAUGCAGUAGUUUUUAUUUUCCUCCUAUUUUGGGGAGUUCUUUUUAGAGGUCUUAAAACAUGAUUGAGAGUGUGUAAAGGGUUAGGAUAUCCUUUUCUAUCUCUCUUAAUUUAAUUUCAUUCCUGAUAAAAGAAAAUGUAAUAUAUAAUUCAAUAACAUUUUUAACGUGACGCAAAACACGGAAGAUAUUCCAGCUACAUUUUCUUUGGCUCUCGUCUAUACACGUAAGUGAGAGAGUGACUAUGCGGUUCCUACAAACCAUGCAUGCAACGUACGAGAAAUCUCAUAUCUAUUCAAUCAUAUCUAUUCAAAAUCUACCCCCAACAUAGCACAGUUACAAAACUGAAAAGUGUGUCUGAAUUACAAUAUUAAAAGUAUUUAGUCUCGUACAUGAUAAUGAGUAGCAAUGUGUACUAAAAAUACUUAUAUGAACUAAUUCUAGUAUUUCGAAUUUGAUAGAAAUUAAAAAUUAACUAGUACAUUAGGAAAUACUUUAAUUUUAAUUCGUUCAAUUUUAUUGAUAAAACUAUCUUAAAAAAAAUUCCGUCAUUAUGAUUGGAUGAUAAUCGUUAAUUUAUAAAAUUCAUAUUACUAGAAAAGAUUUCAUUAGUGUAACAUGUUUACAUGAAAAAGGAAAACUUAUCUUUUCACACUAAAACACACACUUUACAAUUCUUUAUAAUAAUAUUUUUAAUUAAAAAAUAAAAUAAAAAUAAUAAAAAUAUUAAUAUUUUAGGAUGUUACAUUUCACAACUCUUUAUAAUAAUAUAAUAAUAUUUUAAAUCAAAAAAUAAAAUAAAAUAAAAUAAAAAUAUUAAUAUAUCACUUCUCAAUAAAAAAAAGUUGUCAGAAAAAUAUAUUAUUAAAUUUUGAAUAUGGUAAAUAAAACAAUAAGCAUUGAACAUCCCUUAUUUAAUUCCUUCUAUGUGCAAGCAACUUUUUCUUGUAUAAAAAAGUUCUAGUCUCUAUACUUCUGCACUCAGGAUGUUAACAUAAAGGAAAUAAUCUCGGAUGCUGAUAUGUUACCACUAAAAAAAAUCUACUUCUCAAAUUAAUAAAAUAAUAUUUUAAUCAUAUUUAAUUUAUUUUUUAAUUUUAAAUAUUAUAUUAUUAUUAUAAGAUGACUUUUUUUAUAUAUAUUUUACUGUGUAUGAUGUGGAAGAAAUCUUUCCCAACAACCUCAUUCUUCAAAUAUAUUUUUUUUUAAUAAAACGUUAUAUUAUAAUAAAAUAAUAAUUUAUUGAAAUAUAAAGUAAAUGUUCCAGUUAAGGAUAUCAAAGAAUGAGUGGUCUAACAUCAGACUCCAGACUACUAUAAAUUAGGGACUCCGCAUUGCUCUUUCUCAAAUUACAAUUCUCAUAUCAACAACAAACCAUACAUAGAAAUGAAGUAUCUAAGCUCCUACUUUACCUUUGCUACUGCCAUUGCACUCUUUUUUUCCUUUCAACCUUCUUCAGCAGAUUCUCAUGAAAACUUUGUUCGAUGUCUUUACAAUUAUCCCCACAUCACCAACACAAUCUCCAAUGUUGUUUACACCCAAACCAACUCUUCAUACUCCUCUCUCCUAGAUCAUACCAUUGAAAUUCGUAGAUUCUCCAACUCAAGCUCAAAACCCCUUGUCAUUGUCACACCACUGGAUGUUUCCCAAAUUCAAGCAACUAUAAUCUGUUCCCAACGCCAUGGCCUACAGAUUCGAACCCGAAGUGGAGGCCAUGAUUACGAGGGUCUCUCCUACGUUGCCCAGGUUCCAUUUGUCCUCCUUGACCUCUUAAACCUUCGAGAAAUCACAGUUGACGAAGAAAGCCGAACUGCAUGGGUUCAAUCUGGGGCAACCCUAGGUGAACUUUACUACAGCAUUAGCCAAAAAAGCAAAACGCUAGGGUUCCCAGCUGGUUCGUGCGCUAGUGUGGGCAUUGGUGGCCACUUCAGUGGAGGUGGUUAUGGAUUCAUGAUGCGUAAGUACGGUCUUGCUGCAGAUAAUGUCAUAGAUGCUCACAUAAUCGAUGUGAAUGGUAACCUUCUUGACAGACAAGCCAUGGGUGAGGAUCUGUUUUGGGCCAUUAGAGGAGGUGGUGGAGCAAGCUUUGGAGUCAUUGUGUCUUGGAAGGNNNNNNNNNNNNNNNNNNNNNNNNNNNNNNNNNNNNNNNNNNNNNNNNNNNNNNNNNNNNNNNNNNNNNNNNNNNNNNNNNNNNNNNNNNNNNNNNNNNNCUGGUUCCAGUUCCAUCAACUGUGACAGUGUUCAAUGUUUCAAGGACAUUGGAAGAGAAUGCAACCGAGAUCAUUCAAAAGUGGCAGCUUGUGGCCCAUAAAUUGGACGAACGCAUAAUGAUUAGGGUGGACAUAGCAAGGGUUAAUUCAAGUCAACAUGGAAAGCUAACAAUACAAGCCAGUUUUGUGUCCUUGUUUCUGGGAGGAGUAGAAGAGCUUAUUCCAUUGAUGCAAAACAACCUCCCAGAGUUGGGUUUGGACAGAAACGACUGUAAAGAGACGAGUUGGAUUGGGUCAGCUAUUUUCACCAAUGCUGUGUUGAUUGGAUCUUCAGGGAAUGAAUCCCCCGAAUCUAUGCUCAACCAAACUCAAAUUCGUUCUGGGUAUUUCAAAGCAAAAUCUGAUUAUGUGAAACAACCCAUUCCUAUUGAGGGAUUACGAGGAUUAUGGCGUUUGCUUUGUGACGUUAAGGUUGAAUAUGCUCAACUUCAAUUGGCUCCUUAUGGGGGCAGAAUGUAUGAGAUUUCGGAAUCUGAAAUUCCAUUUUCUCACAGAUCUAGAUACAUAUUUCAUAUUCACUAUAACACCAAAUGGCAAGAGGAAGGGGACGAGAUAGCACAAAGGCAUAUGGAUUGGAUUAGAAGACUCUAUAAAUAUAUGGAACCUUAUGUUUCAAAUUCUCCAAGAGCUGCAUAUAUGAAUUACAGAGACCUUGACAUUGGGGUAAAUAACAAUGGCUACACAAGCUACACCCAAGCCAAAAUCUGGGAUUUGAAGUAUUUCAAUAAUAAUUUCAAGAGAUUGGCUAGAGUGAAGACCAAGGUGGAUCCUGACAAUUUUUUCAGAAACGAACAAAGCAUUCCUAUACUGUCGAUGGAAGAAUAUUAAAUUAUUUUUAAACCAUCUAGUAUGUAAAAUUCAAAUAAAAUAAAUUUAAUGAAUGGUAACUCAAAUGUUUAAAAUUACGUAGACUAAAUAAUAGUGUUCACAAAAAUGCCAAGUUAUUAGAGUUGCAUUGACAAAAAAAAAGCAAUCUGGAAGACUACUCUAACAAAGUUAUUUUUUUUAAAAGUUGACAACGUAAAAUAAAUAACUUUUUAAUUUCACAACUCUUUAUACUAAUAUAAUAAUAUUUUAAAUUAAAAAGUAAAAUAAAAUUAAUUAAAAUAUUAAUAUUUUAGAAUGUUAAGUGUAUAUUGAUUAUGUGAAAAAGUUGUCAGAAAAAUAUAUUAUUAAAUUUUGAAUACUGUAAAUAAAACCAUAAGCAUUCAACAUCCCUUAUUUAAUUCCUUCCAUGUGUAAGCAACUUUUUCUUAUAUAAAAAAAGCUCGAUCCUACAUACCGAUAGUUAUUAAAAAUAUUUAUUUCACUGAGUUUUUCUUUAUUAAAUAUGAAAUAAACUUCUUUUAAAAUGUAUCCGUGUCGGAUGCACAUAUUGGUGUCGACACUCGUAGGACACUUAACGGUUAAGUAUUCAAUUCAAAAAAUAUUUGUUGUAUUUUUUAAAAUUCUAGCAUGAUUUUAACACAAUUUUAAAAGGUAUAAAUACAAUAAUUUUCUAAAAACUCAAAUUUUUGUAUAAAUUUUUAUUAAAAAUAAGGAACAAAUUCUUUUGAACCAGUCAUGAAAAAUAUCUUACAUUCUCUCAAAGGAAUAUGAAACAUAUUUUUCCACAUAAAUAUUUAUUUUCAAUUUAUAUAAUUCAAAAUUAUAUAAUAUAUAGAAUCGUGUCCCCGUAUCCUACAUUUUAGAAAUUAUACGUAUUUUCGUAUCCGUGUCAUGUCACUGUCCGUAUCCAUAUCUAUACUACGUAUCAUUAAAUGGUUAAACAUGGGUGUUGAUAUAUAUUAAUACUCUCUAUACUAAAAACAUUCACUUUAUAUCAUAAUAAAUUAAUAUCUUAUUUUAUUUAUUUAAUAUCAAAUGUAUAUCAUGUACUUUAAACAAAAUUUGGUCAAAAAAAAUACAUACAUUGGCCCAUUUGUCGCAUCUUGCUUAAAAUAAUAUAAAAAGCAAUAUUAUAAUAAAAUAAUAAUUUAUUGAAAUAUAAAGUAAAUGUUCAAGUUAAGGAUAUCAAAGAAUGAGUGGUCUAACAUCAGACUCCAGACUACUAUAAAUUAGGAACUCCGCAUUGUUCUUUCUCAAAUUACAAUUCUCAUACAGAGAAAUGAAGUAUCUAAACUCCUACUUUACCUUUGCUACUGCCAUUGCACUCUUUUUUUCCUUUCAACCUUCUUCAGCAGAUUCUCAUGAAAACUUUGUUCGAUGUCUUUACAAUUAUCCCCACAUCACCAACACAAUCUCCAAUGUUGUUUACACCCAAACCAACUCUUCAUACUCCUCUCUCCUAGAUCAUACCAUUGAAAUUCGUAGAUUCUCCAACUCAAGCUCAAAACCCCUUGUCAUUGUCACACCACUGGAUGUUUCCCAAAUUCAAGCAACUAUAAUCUGUUCCCAACGCCAUGGCCUACAGAUUCGAACCCGAAGUGGAGGCCAUGAUUACGAGGGUCUCUCCUACGUUGCCCAGGUUCCAUUUGUCCUCCUUGACCUCUUAAACCUUCGAGAAAUCACAGUUGACGAAGAAAGCCGAACUGCAUGGGUUCAAUCUGGGGCAACCCUAGGUGAACUUUACUACAGCAUUAGCCAAAAAAGCAAAACGCUAGGGUUCCCAGCUGGUUCGUGCGCUAGUGUGGGCAUUGGUGGCCACUUCAGUGGAGGUGGUUAUGGAUUCAUGAUGCGUAAGUACGGUCUUGCUGCAGAUAAUGUCAUAGAUGCUCACAUAAUCGAUGUGAAUGGUAACCUUCUUGACAGACAAGCCAUGGGUGAGGAUCUGUUUUGGGCCAUUAGAGGAGGUGGUGGAGCAAGCUUUGGAAUCAUUGUGGCUUGGAAGGUAAAACUGGUUCCAGUUCCAUCAACUGUGACAGUGUUCAAUGUUUCAAGGACAUUGGAAGAGAAUGCAACCGAGAUCAUUCAAAAGUGGCAGCUUGUGGCCCAUAAAUUGGACGAACGCAUAAUGAUUAAGGUGGACAUAACAAGGGUUAAUUCAAGUCAACAUGGAAAGCUAACAAUACAAGCCAGAUUUAUGUCCUUGUUUCUCGGAGGAGUAGAAGAUCUUAUUCCAUUGAUGCAAAACAGCCUCCCAGAGUUGGGUUUGGACAGAAACGACUGUAAAGAGACGAGUUGGAUUGGCUCAGUUGUUUUCUACAAUGCUUUGUUGAUUGGAUCUUCAGGCAAUGAACCCCCCGAAUCUAUGCUCAACAAAACUCAAAUUCGUUUUGGAAAUUACAAAGGAAAAUCUGAUUAUGUGAAAAAACCUAUUCCUAUCGAGGGAUUACGAGGACUAUGGCGUUUGCUUUGUGACGCUAAGGUUGAAUAUGCUAUACUUCAAUUGGCUCCUUACGGGGGCAUAAUGAACGAGAUUUCAGAGUCUGAAAUUGCGUUCUCGCACAGAUCUCAAUACAUUUUUCAUAUACACUAUUGGGUCACCUGGCAAGAGGAAGGGGACGGGAUAGCACAAAGACACAUGAAUUUUAUUAGAAGAGAGUAUAAAUAUAUGGAACCUUAUGUUUCAAAUUCUCCAAGAGCUGCAUAUAUAAAUUACAGAGACCUUGACAUUGGGGUAAAUAACAAUGGUUACACAAGCUACACCCAAGCCAGCAUUUGGGGUUUGAAGUAUUUCAAUAAUAACUUCAAGAGAUUGGCUAGAGUGAAGACCAAGGUUGAUCCUGAAAAUUUUUUCAGGAACGAACAAAGCAUUCCUAUACUGUCGAUGGAAGAAUAUUAAAUUAUUUUUAAACCAUCUAGUAUGUAAAAUUCAAAUAAAAUAAAUUUAAUGAAUGGUAAACCAUCUAGUAUCUACCAUUCAAAUAAAAUAUGUUGUUACGCUUCUAAUUUAUGUUUUUGAGAGUAAUUCAAAUGUUUUGAAUUACUCUUAAUAAUAGUGUUCAAAAAAAUGUCAUGUUAUUAUUAGAAUAUUAUUGACAAAGUGCAAUAUUAUUAGAGCUGAUGACUACUCUAAAAUGAUAAAAAAAAGUUGAUAAACAUAAAAUUAUUAGAUUUAAGAGAGUCAACUUUGCUAACUCUAAGUCAACAUUAACUUUUCAAUAAAUAAAAUAAAAGUAUACGUAUCAAUGUCAAAUUAAUAUUGGAUUAUCUAAAACUAAUAAAGCUCACUUAAUAAUAUUAUAGUAUAAUAAUGUAAUUCUUUAAUAAAUAAAAAUAUUUAUGUUAAUGUUAAAUUAGUGUCAACUUAGUCGAUACUAGUUGGAGUCAAUAUUAUUUAUUUAUUAUUUAUAUUUAUUAAGUUAGUGCAAGUUAGAUCAAAGACAGAUCAAACAAUCUAUUAAGAUGUAAAUUUGUUAUACAAUCUUGUAAUAUUAAAAUUGUUAGACGGUCUAUCAGUGUCAACCUCAUUAGACAAUACCUGGGUGUUUCUGUGUUAUUAAAAGAAUAGUAAAAAACAUAUAAAGCAUUGAUUCAUUAAAAUAUCCAACUAUGCAUAGAUCCACAUUUUUUUUAUCGAUAAGAAAGAAUAAAUAAAUAUGAACCAUUUCAGGGGUGAUCAAACCCUUAUACAUAACACUACCUCCCAACGACUGCAAAGGGCACACCCACCUACACCCAAACAAGGAAAACAAAACUCAAAAACACAUUUAGAUCUAAUACAUGCAAGCUAAAGGAUCAAGACACCAUUCAAAAUAAGAGAAAACAACUGAAGGUACCUUGGAGACAACCCACGACCAAGACUUUAGUUGUAAAGCGUAAACACUUUCGAAACAUCCAUCACUCCCCCUUUAAAAAUUACCUUAUUCCUGCGCCUCCAAAUCUCAUUUAAUACAAUAAUCCAGAUGGUUCCCCAAAUCACAUUAAAAAAUUCUUAUGCAUUACACAUCCUAAACUGUAGGAAGUGAAAGAAAGCAUCAGAGUGGUCCACGGAUGCCAAACCUAACCAAGCGUAAGACUGACUCCUUUCCAGCCAAGCUAUUCUGCACUAAAAAACAAAUGACUAUAAGACUCCUAUUCCACCCUGCACAUAAUACAUAAAACAUUUAUGAGCUCUACCCCUCUCCUUACCAAAUUUCCUUUGGUGGCUAACUUAAUUUCAAAGACCCUCCAAGCAGUAACUUGGGCCGAAGGCAAAGCCUUAGUCUUCCAAAACAUAACAAACCCAAUAUUGAUCCCCCCUUCAGGCUCACCCCUUAAGAGAACAUAAGCAGAAUUAAUUGUGUACAUAUAGAACUCACCAUUCUUCCAGACCCAGUCAUCAUCCAUAUCCAAAACUAGCCUCAGUCCUUGGAGCAUCUAAAAAACUUUCCUUUCUAGAUCAUUUUCCCACUCGAACAAGUUCCUUCUCUAAAGAAGAUUCCACUUCCAAACUCCGUCAACCCAAUACCCACACUCAACCACUUUAGACUUUGGUAGACAGCUUAAAGAACACAAUCUUGAAAAAACACUCUUCAGGUUACCGCGCCCCUCCCAAUUGUCUUCCCAAAAACUGAUAGACUUCCCAUUUCCAAUAAUAAAAAUAUUAAUAUUUUAGGAUGUUACAUUUCACAACUCUUUAUAAUAAUAUAAUAAUAUUAUAAAUUAAAAAAUAAAAUAAAAAUAAUUAAAAUAUUAAUAUAUCACUUCUCAAUAAAAAAAAGUUGUCAGAAAAAUAUAUUAUUAAAUUUUGAAUAUGGUAAAUAAAACAAUAAGCAUUGAAAAUCCCUUAUUUAAUUCCUUCCGUGUGCAGGGAACUUUUUCUUGUAUAAAAAAGCUCGAUCCUACAUACCGAUAGCUAUUAAAAAUAUUUAUUUAACUGAGUUUCUCUUUAUUAAAUAUGAAAUCUAACAAAAAUUAGACAUUGGUCCACAUAAGUUAAAAUAAUGUAAUUUUUUUAGCGUUUACAUUUUUUUUAUUAACAAAAAGAAUUAAAAAUUAAAAAUAAAUCACUUCAGGGGUGCUUCUACCCUUAUACAAACAACACUUUAAACUCUUUCUCACUCCCAAGAAACACCUACUGAACAAACAAGACCACAAUACUAACAUAAGACACUCACAUCAAAAGAUCUAAAAGUCAACCUCAUACAAAUCAUCGGAUCGAAACACCAAUUAGAAAAAGAAAACAUCCUAAAAUGAGACUUAGAAUAAAUCAAAGACCAAACUUUAACUUGAACCAUUGCAAACAUUUCAGACACAUCGGUCUUUCCCCUAUUAAAAUGACAUUGUUCCUGUGUUUCCAAAUUUCACUCACGACUCCAACACAAAUUGGGGAGGGAAGUUUGAAGAUCGUUUGAAUUUGGAGGUCGGAAACGGGAGAGAGGUUAUGUUUUGGUCAGACAAUUGGAUAGUCUCAGAAGGCUUGAAGAGUAGAUUUCCAAGGUUAUUUUAUUUGUUUGUUAAUAAGGAGGCAAAUUUAUGUGAUUGUGGAAUAUGGGAGAACGGGACGUAGGAGUGGAACCUAAGGUGGUGAAUGGGCCUGUUCGCUUGGGAAGAGGAGCAAGAAAGUAAACUUUUAGAGUUGACCUCUAAGAAGACGCUAGAGAUGGAAACAGUGGAUAUAUGGGUUUGGAAGGAUGGUGAUUCAACAGAGUUUUCAGUUAAGUCCUUUUAUGGGUUUUUUAAGGGAGAAGGAAGUGAGGAAGACUUAAAAAGAUAUAAAUUUUUCUGAAAAAUUAAGGCGCUCCCCUCAGCUCAAUCACAACAUGGAGAGUGAUUGAAAACAAGGUUGCUUGUAGGGUUAAUCUGGAGAGAAGAGGAAUCGGGAUCGAGAGUAAUUUGUGUUGCUUGUGUAGGAGGUCAGAUGAGACAACAAAUCAUUUGUUCUGUGAAUGCAUAGUUGUUUGGCUAAUUUGGAAUCUUUGUUAUGACUGGUUAGGAAUAAAAUCAAUUGAUUGUAUGGACCUGGGUCUCAUUUUGAACAUUUCAAGAUUCUAGAUGCACCUAUUUCAGUUAAUCUUAUUAUGGACAACUUGUGGAUUGCGUGGGUUAGCGAGAUAUGGAGGCACAUGAAUAACUGUUUAUUUAGGUGGAGUGGUUGAUCAUACUGAGGUUUUCUCUCUGACACAAAUUAAGGUUUGGUCUUGAAUCUCAUCAAAGAUACCGUCAGCUAAUUUCUCAUAUGAUUGGUGUCUUGAACCCUUGCUAUGUAUGCAUUCAAUUUAGUUUUAUUUAAAAGGUUGAUCCUCGUGAUUCUUUUAUGUUUGGUAGAGAUGAGAUAGACAGUAGGAGGUAUUUUUGAUUGAGAUGUAGAUGGAAAGGUUCUUUGGGAGCAUCAUUUUGCUGUAUAAGGAUUGAACCACCCCUGAAGUGGUUUCAUUUAAUUUCAUUACUAUUUGCUGAAAAAUAAAGCAUAAUAAUUAAGAAUUAGUGUCUAAAACAAUCUCCUUUUUUUCUCAUUAACAUGUAUUCAAAACCUUAUAUAUUGUGUACAGUUGUGACAUUCAUAGAAAGUCUCUCUGUAUCUAGUGUGGUAGAAAUUGAAUAGCAUCCUCCUUCCAUCCAACCUUUAUUAUGCUCUCUUGCACAAUAUAUUAUCCAUAAACCCUAUGAUGAUCUACAUUUGCAAUAAAUUGCUACAUAUCCAUGUUUUUCUUUUUCAAACUUUUACUUACCUUUUCUCUUUUAUUUUCUACAACCCUAUUCUUGAAUUUCUUGCGUUUUAAGAAAGAUUCUAAAAAUGUUCACAAGUCACUAUGUCUUUGUUCCUUUUGGCAUUCCAACUUUCAAGCUGUAAUAUUGUUGAUGACACUGAUUUUUCUUCUCACCACAGGGAGACUAUGACAAAGUUGGGGUGUAUUACAUGGCAUUUUUCAAGGAAGUCAACAAGCCCCACGAAUUUAUAUUUCCUUAAUAUGGUCAGUUGCUCAAUAAUGUUUGAAACUCUACCAUUUCUCCAACUUUGAAUGUACAAUUAUUAGAUAUGAAAGCCAAUGUUGUAAAAUCUUCAUUUGUUACAUGCUUUUGUACCUACCUAUUGACACUUUAAUAUGUUUAUUGUGUUCUUUAAAUAAUUAAUCUGCUUUUGUUUAAUGACGUGAUUUAGAAGUUAUUUUCAAUAUCUCUGAUAUUUUUGAAAAUUAGUUUCUAUUUAAUUUUACACUUUAGAAGAUUCUUACUAUCUAUGUUACAAUCCUACAACUAACUAUCUUUCAUCCCUUCUCGAUCCUAUAUGAAAUCUUCAUUUUGACAACAUUGCUUCAACAUUGCUCACUUAAUUCACUAUUUUAAUUUUUAUUGCUUCCAGGUAUGAGACAAGUGCAGGUAAAGUUGGGAGAUUUUAAAAGUGCACUAAACUUUGAAAAGGUCCUAUAGGUAUACCUGGAUAAUUGUGAGACAUUGAAGGUAAGUGCUUCAAAUUGAAAGAAAUUUUAGUUCACAACCCUCUCCCUCUCUUGCAUCAUUUCUCUUUCUAGGACUUGAAUGCUUUUGUAGGAACAACCUAAGACUAAUUUAACAUCUAACAUUAGGUAUGCCAUAGUGAAAGGUGCUAGAUUGGAUAAAAUCAUUUGGGUACACCUCUUUCUCUUUGGAGAAAUUGGUUUAGACCAUAAAUUGUAAAACAAUCUUUAAAAUCAUGCAUCGUUGAACUUCAAUAACUCUUAAUUUCAUGAUCAUAUAUUUAUGUAUGCUAACAAGCUUGCACUAAUUGUUUUCUUCAAAUCUGUUUGGGAAAUUCAUGGUAAAAAUAUUAGUUAAAGAAGGAUUGGUUUACAAAAUGCGAAAGAUUUAACAUUCUUACAGAGACCUUGACAUUGGGGUAAAUAACAAUGGCUACACAAGCUACACCCAAACCAAAAUUUGGAGUUUGAAGUAUUUCAAUAAUAAUUUCAAGAGAUUGGUUAGAGUGAAGACUAAGGUGGAUCCUGACAACUUUUUCAAAAACGAACAAAGCAUUCCUACGUUGUCCAUGGAAGAAAAUUAAAUUAUCUUUAAACCAUCUACUGUUAUAUGUUUUUAAUUUAUGUUUGUGAGAGUAACUGAAAUGUUUAAAAUUACGUAGACUAAAUAAUAGUGUUCACAAAAAUGCCAUGUUAUUAGAGUUGCAUUGACAAAAAACAAAAAAGCAAUCUGGAAGACUACUCUAACAAAGUUACUUUUUUAAAAGUUGACAACCUAAAAUAAAUAACUUUUUAAUUUAUAUUUUGUUAAACAUGUACGUUAUUAAACUAACAUUAACUGUAGUAUAAAGGGAACUUAGUAAAUUCUAUGUCGAUGUUAAGUUUUCAAUAUAUAAAAUUAUAUGUGUCAAUGUCAAAUUAAUAUUAACUUAACCGACACAAAUAUAAUUCACUUAAUAUUAGAUUGAAAUAGAGUAGGUUGUUAGUGUUAAAUUAGUAUGAACUUUAUCAAAAUAUUAACUAAUAUAAAUAUUAAAAUAAGUAAGGUUCGCGUAGAUAUAGGUGAUGCUAAUAUUAUUUAUUAUUUAUUUUUAUUAUUUAUAUUUAUUAAGUUAGUGUAAGUUAGAUCAAUAUUUAUAAUGAAAUUGUCUCAUUUUUUUUAGGUAUGUAUAAGGGUUGAACCACCCCUUAAGUGAUUUCUGUUAUUGAAUUUUUUUUUUAUCAAUAUUAAUUUUUUUUAUUACUUAUUUAAGUUAGUGGCAAUUAAGUCAACAUUAAUAUAAUAUAUUUUUAAUAUUUAUUUAAGUUAGUAUUCGAUAAAAUGAUGUUAAUUCAUAUGUUAUGAAUUUAUAUGUAUUGGUGAAAACGAAUAUGAACCAUGAAUUAUUUUUAAUCAAAAGGCAUUCAUAAUUUGGAAGUGAAGAUGAUCCUCAAUUAUCAUUUAUAAUUUCUUGAGUUUUAAAAAAUUACAUAAAAAGAAAAUAAUGUAAUGUAUAAACAGGAAGAACCAUAAUGUAGAUUUUUCUUUUGUAAAAUGGUUACAACAACUAUGAGUUCAUAUGAAAUUCUCUUAUGUUAAUGAAAAAAACAAUGAAUUAGAAUAAAUGCAUUCUUAUAUGCACACACAAAUAAAAAGGACAAUACUUGAUUUUGAGAUAACAAAAUUUUUGUAUAAACAACAUUUUUGGUAAAAUUUACAUCUUCACCUUUAAGGUGUCGUUCUUUAAUAAGAUUUUUUUGUUAAAGGCUGAAAAAACCUCUUGAAAAUGCAACAUAUAAUUGACCAUGACUAAAAUCGUGUCAUGACUGGUAAAUUCCAACAUUAUGUAUAGUUUGUCCCUAUAAUUUAUCAUAGCAAUGACAAGACUUAUUUUCACGGGAAAUGGCUUCCUAAGAAGAAUAAAUGGAAGACUUGCAUUUUCUGUUGUUUUAUGUUUAAUUCUAGGUGAGAAAGAUCUUUCUCCAACAUGAUGACCUAUUAAGAUUUCAACAUCCAACAUGUUCAUGUAGAAUCCACAACAUAGUAAUCUUGUACCAUUACAUAACACAAAUUUAGGGUCUAUGUUUCACAAGAACAUUAAUGGUGCCCCUUUUUUAAGGUUUAAAAUAUGGGGUGGCAAGCCAUUUGGAGCAAUGGAGUGCAAGUACUCUUAUUGGUAUAUAUUAUGUGUGUCUCCUUCAACCUCAUCAAAAGAUAAUAAAUGGUGUUGUUUUCCCGAAUAAUUAUCGAUAAUUAUGUCAUUAAUUUUUCAGCAACUUCAUGUUUUGGAGUCAAUACUCUUUGAAUCAUAUAAGAUGCAAUUCAUAUAUGAAAUUGCAAUUGGGAAAAUGUUUCUUGUAUAAGUUUUUGUAUUAAACUCACUCAUUCCCAUGGUAUUGCUAGUUAAUGGAGUAUUUUCACCAUUUUUUUUAUUAGUAAGGAAUAAAUAAAAUAAAGUGAGGCACUUAAAGGGUGCCACAAUACAACCCUUAUACAAAUAAUCCCAACACAAGCUUCUUAUUACCCAACCAACUGGGGGUCGAUCCAAUAGACAUUACAACACCUUAACAACAUUAACAUACCAUAAUAAAAUACAAGAACCCAUCAAUAUACAAUUAUUUCAACCCUCCAAAGGAACACAUUCUCAAGACAAAACACAAAAGUCCAGCAACUAAACUAAAUCUUUGUCAACAAACAGAAGUAAACCAAACACUCAAGCGCCAAACCGAUCAAACCGACCCUGCGAUGAGGAUAUAGAAGUCAAAAAUCCUGCACAAAACACACCACAUCUUCCAAAUCUGGAAAAAUAAUUGAACAAGAAUCAUCAAACAUCAGUCUCUUAAAUAUCUCAUAACAUAAAAGUUUCAAACACCAAUCCGAGUAGGAUAAAUCAACCAAUCUUUCCUUUACCAUAACCCAAGACCAAAAUUGGAGUAUUUUCACCAUUUCAUCAAGAAUUGUAGGUUCAAUCCUGUCUCUGAUGUGCUUGAGAUAUUCUACAAAAUUGUUAUCUUGUAAUGAUCUUAUGUUUUGUUGUAAAUGCAACACCUUUGUGUUACUUCAUAAAGGAGAUUUUACAAUGCAUUCAUAAAUCAUUUCUAUCUUUGUACUAUUUUGAACGAUUAACAAUACUUGACAAAAAUCUCCUCCUAAUAUUAUCACUUUUACCUCAAAUGGAACAUCACAACUAGAAUCUCCUUUAAUGAUCGAUCUUAUGUCUUCAAAGCAUAUUUGUUAGUCAUGGGUGUUUUAUCACAAAUAAUUGUUUUGUUUCUCUCAGUAGCUUUGCAAGAUCAGAUUAUUUGCUUAUUGAACAAAAUUAACUAAAAAAUGUGAAAUUCCACUACUAGGUAAUAAUGUUGAUGCUAUACUAGAGAAGGUUGUUCUCCUUCGGUUGGGUUGUUUGUUGUUCUAAGCUUCUAUUGUUCUUUUUUCCCUUGUUGUGGUUGCAAAGAAAUUGUAUUGGGUUUGGUUUUGAGUUUGUACGGGUUAGAUUUGAAUUUGUACGGGUUAGUUUUGAAUUUGUACGGGUUAGUCUUGAAAGUAUACAAGCUGUACAGGUUUUUAGUGGUAAAUUUGUUUGUCUCUCUAUUUGUUGGUUUGGGAGACCAGAUAAAUUGUCUCAUUUUUUUAGGUAUGUAUAAGGGUUGAACCACCCCUUAAGUGGUUCCUGUUAUUCAAUCAUUUUUGCUGAUAAAAAAAAAAUUAGAGAAGGUUGUUGCUAAAAUAAUUUUUCCUUUGUAAUAUGCAACUUAUGUACAGUAAAUGAAUGUUUUACUAGUUCCUCUUGGUCCAUCCACACAAAAUACUUGACUUUGCUUACAAUGGAUUAUAUUUAAAAUGGUAUUAAAAGCAGUCAAAUGAUCAAUAUUUAACACUACAAAAAAACUUGUAUGUGGUAGCGGUUAUUAAAAACCGCUACAGUUAGUUGUAUAAUACGACAACUUCAUAAUCGCCAUAAUUUUUCUUUGAAGUGUGGCAUGUAGAAUCACCAUAACUAUCAUUUUAAAUAAAUUUUCUUCCGCAUUUUGUUCCCUAAGUAACCUUCCUUUUUACUAAUGUUUUUUUUCGUAUUCCCUUCUUUCAUUUUUAAAAGUAUACCACUUUGACUCUUUUUUCGUAUUCGCCACUCACUGAACCUUCCCCUCUUUCGUAUUCCCCUCACUAAACCUUCUCACCGUAACACAAACCCUCUAACUGAACCUUCCUCUCUUUUGUAUUCCCCUCUCUUAAUGAACAUUUCUCACUGCAUCUGUUCUCAUUUUGUGCAACUCUUCUCUUCUCACUCUCAUUGGAAAUCCUUCACAUUCUCAAUCUCACUGAAAGCCUUUCGCAGUCUCACCACCAACCCCUUUGUCACUCUGAUAGAAAACCCCUAUUCUCACUCUUACCAGAAACUCUUCUUUUCAAUCUCACCGCAAAGUGUUCUCACUCUAACUGUUUUCAGCCUCACUGCAAACCAUCUCACCCUCUCACUCUUCGCACUGCAANNNNNNNNNNNNNNNNNNNNNNNNNNNNNNNNNNNNNNNNNNNNNNNNNNNNNNNNNNNNNNNNNNNNNNNNNNNNNNNNNNNNNNNNNNNNNNNNNNNNNNNNNNNNNNNNNNNNNNNNNNNNNNNNNNNNNNNNNNNNNNNNNNNNNNNNNNNNNNNNNNNNNNNNNNNNNNNNNNNNNNNNNNNNNNNNNNNNNNNNNNNNNNNNNNNNNNNNNNNNNNNNNNNNNNNNNNNNNNNNNNNNNNNNNNNNNNNNNNNNNNNNNNNNNNNNNNNNNNNNNNNNNNNNNNNNNNNNNNNNNNNNNNNNNNNNNNNNNNNNNNNNNNNNNNNNNNNNNNNNNNNNNNNNNNNNNNNNNNNNNNNNNNNNNNNNNNNNNNNNNNNNNNNNNNNNNNNNNNNNNNNNNNNNNNNNNNNNNNNNNNNNNNNNNNNNNNNNNNNNNNNNNNNNNNNNNNNNNNNNNNNNNNNNNNNNNNNNNNNNNNNNNNNNNNNNNNNNNNNNNNNNNNNNNNNNNNNNNNNNNNNNNNNNNNNNNNNNNNNNNNNNNNNNNNNNNNNNNNNNNNNNNNNNNNNNNNNNNNNNNNNNNNNNNNNNNNNNNNNNNNNNNNNNNNNNNNNNNNNNNNNNNNNNNNNNNNNNNNNNNNNNNNNNNNNNNNNNNNNNNNNNNNNNNNNNNNNNNNNNNNNNNNNNNNNNNNNNNNNNNNNNNNNNNNNNNNNNNNNNNNNNNNNNNNNNNNNNNNNNNNNNNNNNNNNNNNNNNNNNNNNNNNNNNNNNNNNNNNNNNNNNNNNNNNNNNNNNNNNNNNNNNNNNNNNNNNNNNNNNNNNNNNNNNNNNNNNNNNNNNNNNNNNNNNNNNNNNNNNNNNNNNNNNNNNNNNNNNNNNNNNNNNNNNNNNNNNNNNNNNNNNNNNNNNNNNNNNNNNNNNNNNNNNNNNNNNNNNNNNNNNNNNNNNNNNNNNNNNNNNNNNNNNNNNNNNNNNNNNNNNNNNNNNNNNNNNNNNNNNNNNNNNNNNNNNNNNNNNNNNNNNNNNNNNNNNNNNNNNNNNNNNNNNNNNNNNNNNNNNNNNNNNNNNNNNNNNNNNNNNNNNNNNNNNNNNNNNNNNNNNNNNNNNNNNNNNNNNNNNNNNNNNNNNNNNNNNNNNNNNNNNNNNNNNNNNNNNNNNNNNNNNNNNNNNNNNNNNNNNNNNNNNNNNNNNNNNNNNNNNNNNNNNNNNNNNNNNNNNNNNNNNNNNNNNNNNNNNNNNNNNNNNNNNNNNNNNNNNNNNNNNNNNNNNNNNNNNNNNNNNNNNNNNNNNNNNNNNNNNNNNNNNNNNNNNNNNNNNNNNNNNNNNNNNNNNNNNNNNNNNNNNNNGUAUAUCAGUAGUACAGUUUGAGGAUGGGCUGAAAUGCAUUGAAUAUGAUUUUUAAAUUGGAUUGAAUAUAUAUUGACAAAUACAAUUUGAAGGAUGUGCUGAAAUGCAUUGAAUAUGAUUUUAAUGUCAUUGUCUACAAAAAAAAUUCAUAUAUAAAUAAAAAAUUUAUAAGAAUUCCAGUUAUAUUCAAAUAUAUAAAUGCGCCUCGUCAUUACAAAAAUAUUAUCAUUAAUAUUAUUUCUAUUAAAAAUAAUAACAAUAUUAUUUAUUAUUAAUUAUUAUUAUUAUUGAUAAUAAUAAUCAUAAUAAUACUAAAAUUAUUAUUAUCAUUAAUAAUAAUAUAAUAAUAAUAAUAAUUAUAAAAAACUAAAUUAAUCAGUAAUUUUUGUUAUAUAUUUAGUUAUAAUAUUUGUGUUCAAUUCUCUCUAACAACACAGUAAUAUUAAUAAAAAUAAUUGUAAUAAUAAAAUUAGUUAUAAUCAAAAUAAUGAUAUUAAUGUCCAAUCUUUGCCUAAACAGUUUAUAAAAUUUUAAUGCCUAAUGAUAUUUGUUGAUAAUUUUUGAAUGUUCUUUCCUCACAAAUAACGUGGUAUCUAUAUAUUGUCAGAACAACUGGUCAUAUAUAAUUCAAUCACAUUUUUACGUGACGCAACACGGAAGGUAUUCCACCUACAUUUUCUUUGACUCUCGUCUAUACACGUAAGUGAGAGAGUGACUAUGCGGUUCCUACAAACCAUGCAAUACGAGAAAUGUUAUAUAUAUUCAAAAUCUACCCUAACAUAGCACAGUUACAAAUCUGAAAAGUGUCUCUGCAUUACAAUAUUAAAAGUAUUUAGUCUCGUACAUGAUCAUGAGUAGCAAUGUGUACUAAAAGUACUUAUGAACUGAUUCUAGUAUUUCGAAUUUGAUAGAAAUUAAAAAUUAACUAGUACAUUAGAAAAUACUUUAAUUUUAAUUCGUUCAAUAUUAUUGAUAAAACUAUCUUAAAAACUUUUCCGUGAUUAUGAUUUGAUGAUAAUCGUUAAUUUAUAACAUUCGUAUUAGUAGAAAAGAUUUCAUUAGUGUAACAUGUUUAAAUGAAAAAGGAAAACUUAUCUUUUGACACUAAAGCACACACUUCACAAUUCUUUAUAAAAAUAUUAAAUAAAAUAAAAAUAAUAAAAAUAUUAAUAUUUUAGGAUGUUACAUUUCACAACUCUUUAUAAUAAUAUAAUAAUAUUUUAAAUUAAAAAAUAAAAUAAAACAAAAUUAAAAUAUUAAUAUAACAUUUCUCAAUAAAAAAAAAGUUGUCAGAAAAAUAUAUUAUUAAAUUUUGAAUAUGGUAAAUAAAACAAUAAGCAUUGAACAUCCCUUAUUUAAUUCCUUCUAUGUGCAAACAACUUUUUCUUGUAUAAAAAAGCUCGAUCCCACAUACCGAUAUAGCUAUUAAAAAUAUUUAUUUAACUGAGUUUUUCUUUAUUAAAUAUGAAAUAUGAAAUAACAAAAAAAUUAGACAUUGGUCCAGUUAAAAUAAUGUAUUUCUUUUUUGGCGCUUACGUAACCUAGUAUCUACACUUAUUAUGGUUGUUGACAUUAAACUUACAUUGGUUAAAAAAAAUAUGGUUGCUGAUAUAUAUUGAUACUCUCUAUACUAAAAACAUACACUUUAUAUCUUAAUAAAUUAAUAUUUUAUUUAUUUUUAGUUAUUUUUUAAUUAAAAAUAUUAUUAUAUUAUUAUAAAUAAUAUCAAAUGCAUAUUAUUUACUUUAAACAAAAUUUUGUCAAAAAAUAUAUAUACAUUGGCGCAUGUGUCGCAUCUUGCUUAAAAUAAUAUAAAAAGCAAGUUUGGCACAUGCGGUGAUAAGUCUAGUCUCUAUACAUCUGCACUCAUGAUGUUAACAUAAUUGAAAUAAUCUCGGAUGCUGAUAUGUUACCACUAAAAAAAAUCUACUUCUCAAAUUAAUAAAAUAAUAUUUUAAUCAUAUUUAAUUUAUUUUUUAAUUUUAAAUAUUAUUAUAUUAUUAUAAGAUUACUUUAUAUAUAUAUAUAUAUAUUUUACUGUGUAUGAUAUGGAAGAAAUCUUUUCCAACAACCUCAUUCUUCAAAUAUAAUUUUUUUUAAUAAAAGGUUAUAUUAUAAUAAAAUAAUAAUUUAUUGAAAUAUGAAGUAAAUGUUCCAGUUAAGGAUAUCAAAGAAUGAGUGGUCUAAAAUCAGACUUCAGAUUACUAUAAAUUAGGGAUUCCGCAUUGCUCUUUCUCAAAUUACAAUGAAAUAUCUAAGCUCCUACUUCACCUUUGCUACUGCCAUUGCACUCUUUUUUUCCUUUGAACCUUCUUCACCAGAUCCUCAUGAAAACUUUGUUCGAUGUCUUUACAAUUAUCCCCACAUCACCAACACAAUCUCCAAUGUUGUUUACACCCAAACCAACUCUUCAUACUCCUCUCUCCUAGAUCAUACCAUUGAAAAUCGUAGAUUCUCCAACUCAAGCUCAAAACCCCUUGUCAUUGUCACACCACUGGAUGUUUCCCAAAUUCAAGCCACUAUAAUCUGUUCCCAACGCCAUGGCCUGCAGAUUCGAACCCGAAGUGGAGGCCAUGAUUACGAGGGUCUCUCCUACGUUGCCCAGGUUCCAUUUGUCCUCCUUGAUCUCUCAAACCUUCGACAAAUCGCAGUUGACGAAGAAAGCCGAACUGCAUGGGUUCAAUCUGGGGCAACCCUUGGUGAACUUUACUACAGCAUUAGCCAGAAAAGCAAAACGCUAGGGUUCCCAGCCGGUGUGUGCGCCAGUGUGGGCAUUGGUGGCCACUUCAGUGGAGGUGGUUAUGGACUCAUGAUGCGUAAGUACGGUAUUGCUGCUGAUAAUGUCAUGGAUGCUCACAUAAUCGAUGUGAAUGGUAACCUUCUUGACAGACAAGCCAUGGGUGAGGAUCUGUUUUGGGCCAUUAGAGGAGGUGGUGGAGCAAGCUUUGGAGUCAUUGUGGCUUGGAAGGUAAAACUGGUUCCAGUUCCAUCAAUUGUGACAGUGUUCAAUGUUUCAAGGACAUUGGAAGAGAAUGCAACCGAGAUCAUUCAAAAGUGGCAGCUUGUGGCCCAUAAAUUGGACGAACGCAUAAUGAUUAGGGUGGNNNNNNNNNNNNNNNNNNNNNNNNNNNNNNNNNNNNNNNNNNNNNNNNNNNNNNNNNNNNNNNNNNNNNNNNNNNNNNNNNNNNNNNNNNNNNNNNNNNNAGUAGAAGAGCUUAUUCCAUUGAUGCAAAACAGCCUCCCAGAGUUGGGUUUGGACAGAAACGACUGUAAAGAGACGAGUUGGAUUGGGUCAGCUGUUUUCACCAAUGCUGUGUUGAUUGGAUCUUCAGGCAAUGAACCCCCCGAAUCUAUGCUCAACCAAACUCAAAUUCGUUCUGGAAAUUACAAAGCAAAAUCUGAUUAUGUGAAACAACCCAUUCCUAUUGAGGGAUUACGAGGAUUAUGGCGUUUGCUUUGUGACGCUAAGGUUGAAUAUGCUCAACUUCAAUUGGCUCCUUAUGGGGGCAUAAUGAACGAGAUUUCAGAGUCUGAAAUUGCGUUCUCGCACAGAUCUCAAUACAUUUUUCAUAUACACUAUUGGGUCAGCUGGCAAGAGGAAGGGGACGAGAUAGCACAAAGACACAUGAAUUUUAUUAGAAGAGAGUAUAAAUAUAUGGAACCUUAUGUUUCAAAUUCUCCAAGAGCUGCAUAUAUAAAUUACAGAGACCUUGACAUUGGGGUAAAUAACAAUGGUUACACAAGCUACACCCAAGCCAGCAU
rnacentral:lncRNA from 1 species